AAAAAAAAAAGAGUCGAUCACCUUACGUUCACAUGUCACCAAUCACCAACUCAUGUUUUGGAAAAUAUAUAUACUUAUAAAACAAUUGUAAAAUAACAGUACUACCUAAUGGUGCUUGCCACAUAAACUUCCAUGAUUAAUUUAGUUUUCAACAUAAGGUUCCAAACAAGUCCUUAAGAUUAAUUACUUAACUUUGUCCUUUUAGGAAAUAUUGCAGACUUACCUUUAUCCUUUUAGAAUUAGGACGCUUUCAAAAGGGUUGGAGAUUAGGCCACACAUGCUUCGGAGGUCAAAGACGAGAACAACCGGAGCCAAGCCAAGCUAACUAGUUCAUUUAUCUUGUCUUCUUUGACAUCCAUUCAAAGGAAAGGGCAAGUUAUCCUCCAUCUUCGCCUUUGAGACAUAGGCACGCAAUUUGGUCGAGUGGCUCAAGUAGUUUGUCCUUCCUUCUUUUGCAUCUUAGAUGCAAAAUAAGAAGCGACUUCAUGUCUUACCACUAAAACUUAGCGAGCGAACUAGGUCAUGAUCUAAUUGCUUCUCGACCUACCUUUUUACUAACAUCUCUCCUUAAACUUAUUUCCUUUCCUUCUCAUAUCCGUUUGAGAUGAGGUAAAUUUUUCCAUUUUACCUUCAAAGAUCUAAAAUUUGAAGUAUGUAAUUAAAUUUGUAAUUAUUUGUUGAGAAAAUAAUUGAAAUUAAAACAGUUUUUGGAGAGUAUCAAAAGAUAUAUGGUAAAAUAAAUAAGAGUCAAAGUAGGAGAUACGAGAGAUAAGUGGGAAAUACUUUAUGUGGCUUUUAUAGGUGGUUUAGUUUAAUGUUUGUGGAAUGUGUCCCAUCAAAGGAAGAUAGCAAGAAUCUUGCAUCGAAUUAUGAAGAGUCAUUGCAAAAUGAAAAGGGAUCUCGUAAUCAGUAGUUGAAUUGUUUGGUUACUUGAUGAUACCCAAAGACGAUGUGCAAUUUUUUCCAAUACUCCAAACUUAGAGUCCAACUCCGUGUUAAGGAAUGUACCUCAUGUUGAUUCCAUUCUUUUUUCUUUUUUCUUUUUUUUUUCGGUUAAAUUAUAUAUUUAGUCUACGAUCAUUCAUGUUUACAAUAAACAUGUUUCUAAACAUUUAAAAACUAUUUAUUUUACAUUUAAUAAAUCUCUAGACUUUAAAAAUUUGACAAAAUUAAGUCUUUAAUUAACCGGCCUUUCUUUCUUUCCUUAAUAGAACAAUUGUUCAAAAGAACGACAUGAUAAACUGAAAAACUGAGUCAAACGACAGUCAAGGUACAAAAAUCAACUGAAUCGUUGGUUAGAGAAGAAGAGGAGUUUAGUUGAUGCAGUGACAAUUUGAUUGAGAAACUGAUUGUUACCCUAUAUAAUAAAGAAAAAAAGAUAAUAAUGCAUCAUUCAAGUAAUAGGAAAAUACAUCAUUUAACCCUUUUAUAUAACAUUAGUGUCUAUUCUCCACACAAUAAUUUUUUAAUUAAAAUUGAAUUAUGUACCUUUUCUAUUAUGCUUAUUUGAUAGUAUAGAGUUCAUCUCAUCUAUCUUAUAAAGACUGAGAUUCUUCUUGAUUUUUUUUCACGAUAGGAUUUUCAACAUCUCAAGCUCAAGACAACACUAAUUUCAAGUUUAUAACUAUUUUCUUAGCUAAUAUUCUUAUUCAAUCAAUAAAGAUUCUAUUUCCAUGAACUUUCAAAAUUUUGAUUAAUAUUGGUAAAGCAAAAUCAAAUACUAUUUUUAAAAAAUGGAGUUGUAAUUAAUUAUGAAGAUGGAAAAAUGGAAUAAUUUAUAAUAAAAGGGAAUUAGAAAAUGUGUGUUGGUUCACAUUUUAUAAUUUAAAAAUUGCAAACAAAGAGAGAAUUAGAGAGGGUUAGGGUUUAGGGUUUGUCAUAAAACAUUUAAAAAUGGUAUAUAUAUAUAUUAUAUAUAAUAUGAUGAGAUGGAAGAGAUUUGGAGGUGUGUGGGGGCAGUUGAUCUGAUCUAAUACCAAAACAAAAAUAAACUUUUGUAAUGGUGGCACACCUAGCUAUAUAGUUUAGUUUCUCACAACUCAACUGCUUUUGAAAUUUUCUCUCUUUUAUAUUUAUUUAUUUAGGGUGUGGUGUUGUGGAGACCUUAUCUUUUUAAUUUCUUUUUAGUUAUUUACAUUUAUUAUCAGUACACAACAUUGACUCUUAUCUUAUACAUCCAAUCACCCUACACAAAAAGUUAUUAAUACCUUUAUUUCAUUCGAUCUGCAUCACUCAUCUAGUUCAUUAUAUGAUGAUAAACUAUAGCGUACGUUUGUCGUGAUUGUUUUUAGUACAACAAUCAUAAAAUAAGAGAUUUCAUAAUAAUAUUACUAACUUAAGUUUGCUUUUCGUUGGAAUAUUUGUUUCUAUAUAUUAUUAAUAUAUAUCACAUUAGUUUUUUUCUUCAAAGAAUACUGUUUUUUAAAGCAGGUAAAGCGGAGACGAUUGAAGUUUGAUCUUAUAAAAAAUUUAUAUCAAAUAAGCUAUGUUCAUAUUGACAACGAACUAAUUAUGUUAAUGUUAAUUUUCAUUAAUAUAUUGUAAUUAAUUAAGUUAUAUUUACGUAACUUUUACUUAUGUUUUUUCUUCUUUUUUUAAAGAAAAAUAGUUGAAUUCUUAAUCAAAUUUUAAAAAUAAUAAAUAUUUUUAAUCAACUUGAUUAAUAUUUGAAGUAUACAGAUUAGAUUUUAAAAAUUGAAAAUACAACUACUAAAACAUAUAUUUUUUUUUUAUGAAAGACAUAUUAUAUAUUUUACAACAAAAUAAAGAUGAAACCCGAGAACUCGAAAUAAAGGCACAAAACCAAACACAUAACAAAGAUGCAAGAGGAGCACUCCUCAAUCUCAAAACACCACACAUAGCCUAAGCUAAGAGGAAGAGAAAACAACCAUAGCAAAGCAAGAUGAUCUCUAGAAGUAAUAAUUUAGUCUUCUAAUUUUAAUUUUGUAACAAUUUAGUUAUUAAAAGUGUGCGACUAUUUAAUUUGUACGCGAGUAUGAAAAUUUAAUAAGAUAGUUUAUGGCAUAAACAAAUGAAUAAAUAAAAUACAAAGUGUAAAUCAUAAAAUACUAAAAAUUGAUAUAAAAUUAGAGAGUUUAUAAAAGUUAUGAAGACGAAAGGUGUAUUUAUUUGGAAAGGAAAAAGAAAGAAAGGAAGGAAGAAAAAAAAGAAAAAAGGAAAAAGGAAAAAGGAAGUCAUUAAAAAUAAUAAUUAGGUAUUUGAAAAAAAAGAAAAGUUGUACGGUGGUGAUGGUUACUCACAUUCCGGGCUUCGCCGGUUGGCUUCAACGACUAUAUAACGAAGCUUCCUUUCUUUUGUUUGUUUGUGAUUUUCCGUACUCUUUUUAUUUUUUAUUUGGUUUUAUUUCCACACGCUACCCCUCUCCUUUUCUUUUCUUUUAUUUUCUUUUCUUUUUCUCAAAACAAAAACAAAUUUAAUUUUUGUUUAUAAGAGGCAAGAGGGACGUUUGGCAUGAGGUCAUAAUUAAUUCACAACAUUAUUUUCCACAUGCAUUAUUAAUUAUUAGAAAAUGACCCCUUAGAUCUCGAUAAAUAUUAUACUUUUAUGUAGUACAUCUCUAUUGUACCUUCUUCUCUCUACUUACAAACUUUUAUUACCAUUUCAUUUUGCCUUCUUAAUAACAUAUAUCCCUCACUUCUACCCACUUAGUGUUUCAUUAUAUAUUUUGUUUACAUCAUCACUGCUACACAUCCUAUCUAUUCUCUCUUUUAACUCUCACCUCCUUCCAAAUUAAUAAGUACUAGUUGGUAUUUUAUAUAUCACAAUUCAUGCUAAGCUUAGAAUGACAUGAAUGACCUAAAACUGAAAUUAAUGGACUUACAAGUGGAAGAAAUAAUAAUGAAAUCGAUACUUUAAUCAAUUAUGACAGUUUUUUUAUUUGAGAAAAAUAUGAACCCCUAAAUAAAGAAAGUGCACAUGCAUGUGUGGAUUUAAUGUUUGUCACUGGCAAUAUCUUCAAUGCUGAAGUUAGAUCAAAGCAUAGCAAAAGGUUUAAGAGCUGAAAGAGAAGUUAUGGACUUCACUCUAACUAUAAUAGCAUAUUUAAAUUUGGGUUUAGGUCUUUAAUUUUUCCCUUGCCUUUUACAUAAGGUUACUUUGUAUUAGAGGUUAAACCAAGUUAACCCUAGCUUUCAUGAUGUUCAGUCCAUACUCCCUCAAACAAAAGGCUCACCUUCACUUCAACUUCCGUUGACCAAUCAUGCUCGCUUGAGCCCUUUUAAGCUUCUUAAGAUGUGUUAGAUCAAUACGUGCAUCUGACAUGGACACUCGCUUAGCAUACUCAUUAUCCUUGCUUCAUUGAUAAAAUAGAGAGAAUUAGUACAAAUGAAGCAGAGAGCGCUAGAGUUAAACUCCAAAUACAAUCAAUUAAAGGAAUUUAGAUUUAUAGCAAUGGUGCUAACAUGGUAGUUUUAUCUCCUCCAAAACUAAUUUAGGCUUCAAGCUAGUUUUUGAGAAUUUGGUGUGACUCAAGCUUUGGUUAGAUUAUAUUACUUGUAAAUCUAGACUAUCUUAAUCUUAAUCUUAAUCUCCUUAUUACUUAUUGUUACAUUUUUACUUAAUAAAUAUUCUAUAUCAAAAGAAAAGAUUUUAAACGAUUAGCCUAAACAUAUAUAGUGUUCUAGUCAUGGCAUUUUGAUUAGCAUCCCAACUAGAGAGGCACAAUAUAUCUUUAUUUGUAAUAAUAUAAGUAAUUAGUUUUAUGGUGUGAAAAGGUUAUCUUCGAUAACAACAUAGAUUUAGAUGUCCAUUCCCUAUUGGUUCAUUAUCACAUACCAAACAAACGUCUUGAAAGAAAACUUUGAAGGUAACAACCACGUGAUCAAUUUUAAUAAUUAACUACAAUAUUAAUUAAUAUAUGGUUGAUCAUAGACUACUUUUGUAUUAAUCAGUACACAACCAUAUUUUUUUUUUUUUUAAAAAAAAGCACAUCUACACAACUAUAUAAACAAAACUUAUCAUAUAUACCCCUAGUUUAAUUGAGUAGUUGGAAUUGAUAUUUAUUUAUUUCCAACUUUUGGGUAUAUUUUUUCACUUGUUUUUAGUGUCUCAACACAAUACCUACAAUAUAAUUUUUUUUUUGAAUUAUUAGUAUAUUUUUUCACUUUUUUUUUUUGGUAUAUAUAUAAUUUAGAAAAUGGCAAAAGAUGUUAUUAAAUUGAAAGUGGUGAGCAGAAAGAGAAGGAAAAAGGUUAAAGAAGGGCAAAAAAUAGAAAAAGAAGAAAGAAAAAAUAGAAAAAGAAGAAAGAAAAAAUAGAAAAGGUAGUUUUGAUAAUGAUAAGCAUUAAUGAACGAUUUAAGAAGAAAUUUGGAAUUCCUUAACUAGCGAGUCUUAAUUGCUACACUUCUUUGGUAGACUAUAUGACUUUUUUAUAAGAUAAAUACGAGCUUAUCCAUCAAACACAUAUAUUAACAUUUGUAGUACUUCAUAACUACAAGCUUAAACUUUUCUUUUUUCUUUUUAAAGAAAAUUAAAAGAUUUUAAUAAAAUUUCUUUUUAUAAUAUUAUGGUUUUAUUCUGGAGAAAAUAUAAUUUUACCUCCCUAAGUUUCUACUUUAAUUUCAAUUUAAAUUGUUUCUGUUGUGUGAUUCAAAAUGUUUUUGUUAUCACCGAUCACUUUUAAGUAAGCUUAGAGAUUAUAAUUUAUAAUAUAUGUAUAUUGCACAUUUAAAACAGUAUCAAUGCAUUUUAGUGAAAUAGGAAUUAAUUAAAUUAGAUUAGAUUGUGGUAUGUAAAGAAAGAAAAGUGUGAAAAGAAUAAUAAAAUUAUUGUUGCCGAAAAAACAGAAGAAGAUAAAAUAAAAGAACGAGAAAUUUUAUAAAUUAUAAUCUCUAGAAAAUUGAUGAUUGAAAAGUAAUAGUUAGGGUUGGUUUAGUAUAAUUUUGUGUUUGCAAUGUUGGAAUGGUACUGUGUGCUUAUGUGUCUGUGUUCAACACGUAAUUAUGAGUUUGAUACGUUAAAAUUUGGACAAAGAUAUAUAUAUAUCUGACAAUAAUUAAUGAUAGGUUUGUAAUCAAAGAAAGAAUAAUGUAAUUUACAAGAUGAAAAGAUAAUUUACACAUCGAUUUGGUGCUUGCAACAUAAGUUCCAUAAUACGUAAGUAGAAAAUUUUAAUGUAUAGUAAGUAGAGAGUAGUGAUCGGUUGAUGAUAUACCACUGAUAUCCUGACUUUGGGGUAUCCUUAUCUAAUCAGUUUCCUAUUUAUGUUAGGUUAUGCCUUGUUUUUCAAAUUUUGUGGCUCGAUGACCUUGAUCAAGUAUUAGGUUGAUUUGUGGUUUUAACUAAACUAUUUUUUUCUCAAUGUGCGAAUAGGUCAUAGUACAAACCGUUCGUAAGAGAAGUAGAGUUCAAUUCAACGUCAUACUCAAUCGAGGAGGUUGGUUUGGACUUUUAACCUAAACCAUCGCCUUUUAGAACUCGAAAUAGGUUAUAAUGCAUCUCAUUCACCAAAUGAAAAAAAAAAGUCGGACAUUGACCUCAUUCUCAGGCUUCUUUGGCUCUAACCUCAUUUUACUCUCUUCACAUAGUUGUAUGUUAAAUUAUUAUAAUUAUCAAUUAAUUAGCAUUUGGUUUUACAUUUUUAAAUGUAAUUUUAAUUCUUGUUUGUUGAGUAGGUAAUUAUUGAAUAAUUAAAAAGCAUACGAAGCUUCUGAUGGGACUGUCAGACACAAGCUUGACACUUUAUAGCCUAAUUUCUUUCUAAAACUAGAGUCCCUUUUUCACACAUAUUCUAUUACCAACACAUUUCUAUAUACAUCCAAUUUUAUUCUCACUUUAUUGUUAAAAUAAUAAUCAUAAGAAAAUCAAAAACACUAAUCUUUUGCUACACAUUUGUGUUACUAAAACGUGAAAGUUUUUGAAAUGUUGAAUAUAAAAGAACCAUUUUAAUUAGAUCAUCGUGUGAUGGAGUAAAGGGAAAUUGGUGUUAGAUAGAGGAUUUUAGCAUUUGAUAUUGAAAAAGUAGCAAAAUAAAGAGAAUCAUAAUUAUCGAAAAACAUGCUUUCUUCAUUUACUGAGAGUAUUUGACAUUGUUCAUCACAGAAUGUCUCUAACUCUUUUUGGGUAUAAUCAAUUCUUCUUUUUCAACUUAAAUCACAAUCACUUUGAGUUAUCCUAUAUGUAUAUAUAUAAUUUUUGAAUAUCAUCUGUUGUGUGAAGUGGAUUUCCCUUUGUUUGGAAGCUGUAGAGUGAUUUCAGAUAUGGGCUUGAGCCCAAUUUAAAUACCUCUUAUUGGGCUGCUUUUGGCGCCCACGCGUGUUUCUUUACUAUGGCCCCAUAGGACCCAUGGACUUUUAAUUGAAGUUUCAUUGUAAGUAGCAAAAAGUUUUACUUUUUUAUUUCUAAUUUAUGGAUGGAAAAGUGAGGUGGAAAAAAGAAGUUAAAAACUGAAAUAUACUUAGAGAGGGUAAAAAAAAAUUAGAUAAUGAAAUAUGGUAAAGAAAGAUGUGACAGUCGAUUAGGAGAUAGAGGAUGGCGGGACAAUUAAAAGGUAAACUCUAAUCUUAUUUUAAAAUGAUUGGUUUGAGUAAUAAACUGGAAUCGAAUUGAAUUAAUCAGUUUGGUCUAAUUUAAUAACAAAAUUGAUCCAACUUGAACUGAACCCUCUCGAUUUAGUUCAUCUUCUUAUAAACGUAGAAAAAAAAAUCUUAAAUUAAGGAAUAGAGAAAAUUGAGAUUGUAGGAUUGGAAAGAGGAAUCUGACGACACGCAUGGUUCACAUAGUUCUUAUAUGUUUUUUAUAACUUAAAUUCUAUCUAGUCGUUUUUUUUUUAUAAACGUGGGGCAGAGGCUUAUUUAGUGAUGGUCAGGUUCCUUCCCUUUCAAAGCGGCCAAGAUGUAGGGAAGUUACUCCUUUACUUGAAGGGAAGUUGUUUGCUAUAUUGUUGAAAAAGGUUCGUCUAGCUAAGGGCUUAGUUCUGCUUUCAUGGGUCUAGUCUUGUGGGCAAUUAUGUGGUGUCCAAAAUAUCAAUAGUGUCACCUAAAGUCACUAUAUAUUUUUCUCUUCAUGUUAAUCUCUCAGUAUGAUGUUUCCCUUUCAACAAUCCAUUGUUACUCUGUAAUGAAUCUUCUUGGUGAACCUCCGAGAUUCCUUUGACUUGCUAAAGAACUUAAGAUAGCAUCUUUCUUGUUUUCUUCUUGCUCAAGAUGUAAUUUGGAUUUGUCCUUUGUUUUGCUUCGUUGCAAGCUUUAGCUCUCGUACGUUUCCUUUGUAUCUCGACUUUAAAGUAAACGGUCUCCUUUUUGCAAUAUAUUGUGUAUCAUAUAUUAUAUGACCUUUGCAAAAAAAAGAAAAAAAAAACAAUAAAAACAUUUUUUUUCUGAAGUUUACAAGAGUGUUUGAAGUAUAACUAUUUUAAACUUAGCCACAAACUUUCUUAAGCGGAUUUAAUCUGAGCUUUCAAUUAGGGUUUCCUAUAAAAAGCAUCCAUUUUGUUGAUACGAUGUUUGAAAAAGUUUACACUCAGUGUAAACAACAUUGAUACGAUCACUACUAUAAAGAUAAUCUUAAAAAGUAUAGAUCGAUAAAAAUUGAAAAUGUAAGUUAAUAUAAAUAUAUUAGUUAAAAGAUUUUAAUUCAUACAAAUGUGAAUAUGAAAGGAGUAUUUCCCCUUGAAGAAUUGAUUUUGUGAUUUAUUAAUGGUUUCCCUGUUCAAAAGUCCACUGAAAAGGGGAGACUCAAAGGAGAAAAAAAGUUGGAUUAGGAGCAAAAGAAAAAAAAAAAAGAUGAUUGUGUACUUUCCUAGAAAAGCUAUCUUUUUAAUUUCUUUAUUGAGAGAUGUGUCACUUCUACCAAUAAUUUAAUUUUAAUUCAUUACUUUAAUAACAAUAAGAGUGAUUCAUUUUUUUUUUUUUUUUUAUCCAUUACAAUAUUCUUAUAUGCAUUAAAAUAAUUCUCUCUCUCUCUCCAUUUUUCUAAAACUAAAUAUUACAAUAGAAAUUAGAUAGUAAAUUUCCAACAAAAUAAGGUCUGGUUCGUAUCAUACCUCGUUUGACCUAAAAAUUGCAUCAUUGAUCUUGAGAUUAAAAGUUAUGUUCACUCAUCUUACACGUCUUUUUUUUUUUUUUUUUUUUUAAAAAAAGAAAACUAACUUUAGUAUGUUUGAUUUGUAAUUCGAUUAGGGAAUGCUUUCAAAAGAUUCAACUUUGUGUCACGAGAUGCAGUUAUAUAUUGCCAAAAUCUUGAGAUGAAAUAUAGAUUUGGCGUUCACGUGACACGAAUAGUAAAUUUGUUUGAAAGAGGAAAAGAUUAUGAUGUACAAAAGAGAAACCCUAGUACAUAUGCCAAAGAGUGAAGCUAGAGAGUUUGAGAGCGAAAUUACCUGUUAAGAAGCUACAAUGAUGUAUUUAUAGAGAAAGUUGACGUAGGUUAUUGCCUAGAGACAACCUACUAAGCCAAAGGGUAUGCUCGUACCAAGGCCCAAGUCAACGCUUCUUUUUGUAGGGCCACAUUGGUUCUAAGACGAUACCAUUUUCGACUCGUAUCAUGCCUUUUUCUUGAUUUUAUUAUUACUAUGUAUGCUAUCUAGAUGUCAAUUAUACCCUUCCAUUUAAAUGAUUCAUAGAGCAAAAUUGUGAUAAUGAAAUAUUGUAAAUUUGUUUAUUCCAAUGAAUGAAUUGUUUUCAUUGUUUCCUUAUAAAACCAAUGUACAUUCAAUUUGGUCCAAAUUGACUUUUGACUCUAUGCUUUAAAGUAAUAAUCUUUUAUAAAAAGCACAAAGAAUGAAGAACUAAAAAGUAAUAAGAAACCAAAAAAUGGCAUUUUUUUUUUCUCUCUCUCUCACAUUAGAAUUGAGAAAUGAGAUAUAGAAUCAAUCUCUAAACAUAUAAUAAAGUAAAAAUGAAAACAAGCUUCAAAUAAUGAUUGAGUUGUGUUUAGCUUUAGUUUGACAUUUCCUACACAUUCUUAUCAUAAGGAGUGUUUUUUAAUGCACCAAAUCCCAAGUGAUCAUUACAAGUCUAAUUAUAAAUCACUUUGAAAAAUAAUUGUUGGAUUAUGAAUUUUAAAACUAUGUGUGGUUAGUAUUAGUUGUUCAAUCAUUUUAGCACAAUUAUUGGACCUCAAUUGUGUGGAUAUAUAUAUAAUCACUUUAAUUCUUAAACUUUUAUACCAAAUGUAUUACAAACAAUUUAGUUAAUAAAUUUUGAUUUGUACCAUUUUAAUCGUUGUAUUUAUAUAUUUAAGUAGUAAUUGAUUUGAUCCCUAUUCAAUUAAUAGGCGUCAAGAGUGAUGAUCCAGUCCUGAUGCAUAAGUGAAAGUGUCGGACAUUGUCGGGUUGCAACUCCCGUCGACUAUGUGCGUUAGAAGUUGAUUUUUUUACAUUUUUUUUUUACCAAUUAUUAUUUUUAUUGUUUUUGUUGUGACAUGUGCCAUGUGGUACAUUUUUUAGUUUCGAUUUGAUUUAAAAUUCAAUAAAAUUUUCAAACAAAACUUUUACAAAAUUAAUAACUACAUUGAAAUGCCAGAGUUCAAUUUACAAAAUUAGAACAUUAGGUGUUGGUUGAUGCAUCACUUAAGUGAGACGUUGAGGUAAAACCGUUGGUUGAUGUGUCACUAAUUAAAUGAGGCGAUAUGGUAGGACCAUCAUUGAUGUAUUACUUAAGUGAGGCAUUGAGAUGAGCUAAUGAUCCUUAGGACGUUGCAUAUUGAAAAAACUUUAAUGCUUUGCUUAAUUGAGACGUUGCAGUCAACUAUCAUUUAUUAAGGAAAUAUGCAUUAAACUUAUAUAACUCUUGAGCUCAAUAUCUAUAUAAAUGUCUCCCCACUUCUCGUUCCCGAGACAUUGAAAAAAUUAUCUUUUACAAGUUCUCUCAAUCUUCUCUCUAUUUUUUUUGUUUUUCGAGCAAAAUAAAAGAGUGUUGGUAUUCCAAUCGAUUCUGGCUGUAUAGUUUUGAUUGAGUUUUGACUUUUCAUCUUGCAGUGUCGUGGCAUCAUGUGAAUUGUUUGUACUCCGAAUAGAGUCGUGAAAUGUCAUAAAGAAAUCAUGAUCAUGAUCUUUGACUCAAUCUUUCCCUUCACUAGUUUCUAUUUUGCAUGUUUUGAAUGCAUUUCAUAGUCGACAAACCAAACGACGAGGUCUAGAUGUUAAGUCCAGGUGACUACUUUACUAGACAUUCAUAUUAAUUAGUAGACGUCCGAAUCACAAAUAGUUCAAAUUCCAAUUUAGGCAUCGUAUGCAUUCGAAUUUAGAAGCCUAACUCUCUGUUUCUAACGAAUUAUCAUUGUCCAAUUCCAACGCACGUUGUUGUUGUCCAGAUUUGUUGCGUCGGUCUUUUUGCAUUAUUUCGUACAAUUAGUUCCAACAAAAACUAUUAAAAAUGUUCUUCUUUAUAAAAGCAUGCAACAACUUUAAUAUAUAUGUUUCUUAAAGUUUAAAAAAGAAAUGAAGGAUAUGAGUCGAAUUUUCAAACUUUGUAGAAAAAUAAUUGAUGUUUUUAUCAAUUUAAUUAUGUUUACAUUUAGGUGGUCUCCAAUAAUAUUUACUUUAUGAUACACAAUAACCUUCACUUUCCAAGUCUACAUUUGAAAAUAUAUAGAAGACAUCAAUUGUCAAUCCAUUUCUCCCCAUUUAAUAGUUAAAAAAAUACAAAACAAUUUAAAUAUAUUUAAUUGGAUUUUAUAUUAUAAAUUUUUGGAUAAUUGUCAUAAAUAAACAAAAGCAGUAAUUUUUUUUUGUUGGUUUGGUAGGAAGUGUAAAUAGUUUGUUUAUUUUUUAAUCUUUCAAUUCUUAUAUGUUGUUAAGUUUUAAAUAAUUAAUUAUAUUAUUAAUUACUUGCACCUUAAUAAUAUAACGCAAAUAAGAACUUAAUUCAAUUGACAUACUUAAGGAUAAAGAAGUCUCAAAUACAAAUACUCCUGUAUAGGAAUUGUACUAAAAUUGACAUGGACCCUAUUAUCAUAAUUUUUAUGUUAUUUUUGCAAAUGUCCCUUAUUUUUUUAUUGGGUGAAAUCCACCGUUUCAUUUAUUAUCCUUUUAAUACAGAUACUUUAUUUUUUCUUAUAGAACUUUUAUAGUGUUAAACGUCAUUCUUUAGUUCAACAAUAAUGCAUGACGUUGGAAAAUGUGAUUGUAUUUAUAAUUUUUUUAAAACGUAAUUUUUAGUUCAACACGUGUCGGUGAGAGUGAUUAAAACCUCUAACCUAGUAGUGAAAGAUAUACGAACCUUUACGCAAAUUCAAUAUCAUAAUUGGGUGGUUUAUAAGUUGAAGUAGGUUUUAUGGAGGGUUGAAUAACACAAAAAUAACCUUAAAAGAAAUAGUAUAAUGACAAUAAAUUUGGCCUCAUCCCCUCAUAAAAAGCUCAUUUUCAUUUUUCCUUCCAUAUUUGAGGCAACCAGGCAUGCGAGGCACGUGCCAUCUCCUACUUGUAUCAAACUCUCAUGUUUUCCCAUAUUAGGAAUCCUUCAAUGUAACAACAUUUAUAAUAUAUAGUUUCAAAUAAUAAAUCAAGAGAUACUUUUGUUCCCAUCAUUCUUCACGUACCUAAACUCGCCUUCAUGCCAUCCAUCUAAUGGCCAUUGUCCCUCUACAACCAAUGUUCACUCUCCACCUCAGUGAAAGACACAACAUUACUGUGUUCCGAAUACACCAGAUUGGUCAUCUCUAAGUGAAGUGGAUCCUAUUAAAUUGCUCCACGUGUAAACUAAAUUAGAAGCCAGAUCGUAGGGCUGUGAUUCAAUACAUUACCAUAUAGAGAGCCUUCAAAAAUGGUAUAUAUUAUCAACGGCCCGAUUUCCCAUAUUAGUUUUACCAGAACCAUACGUAAGCGUUUGUGAAAUGAAACUGAACCAUUCGAUCCUCUGUACAUGUGUACGGUUGGAUUACGAGAUCGUAAACAGAAAUCGUAAAACCGCGUUGUAGAGGAUCUUUGGCUAUAGUAAAAAAAUACCAAAGCUCAGUUUCUGUCGCUAUCCAGUAGUCCCUCCCAAGUCCCUUUCUCUUUCUUCUCAUAUCACCACCGAGAGAAACAUCGCUUGUUCCAAACCCACCGGCAAAUUUCUCCGGCGAAGGUCAGUUCAUUGACAAUCUCUCUUACUUUUUUUAAUUUCUAAGGUUUCCUCUCUCUCAUUGUUCCUUUCUUUGAUUUUGAUUCGUAUUCAAUUUCUUGUGCAUUUUUUUUUUUUUAAUUUGUGUGCUCGUGUGUUUCUGUCUGUUUGUUUUCGGAAUUUAGUUUGAUCGUGAUUACCUCUGAUCGGGAUUCGAUUUCUGCAUACGCUAUGAGUUUUGAUUUUUGGUUGUUUCUGUGCAGAUUGAUUUUGGAAAUCUUCUUUCAGGUUUGCGAUUUCGGUGGUUCUUUCUUAUGUUUUUCAUCGUUAACUUGAGUAGUGUUGUCGUCUAUAACUGACACUGGCCGUGGAGUUGGGGUCCAGUGUGUGUGAGGUGUGGAAGAAGUUGAACUUAUUGUGCGGAGGUACAGUUUCAGAGCUUGGAGAAGUGACUUUGAAAUUUUGGGGUUUUUGCUUUGGGGUUGUCACCGGAAAGAAUGGUAAGUUUGAAUUGGGAAUUUUGUUAUUCUUUCAUUUCUGCAUGUUGCUUUAUGCAAACUUAAUUCUUUUGGAAGUCUAAUUUUCAGUUUCAUAGGGGUUUGCUGGUACUGAUUUAUUACUAACAUUUUCUUUUUCUCAAAAUGUGAGGCUGUGAGCAUCCAAUUUUUUUAUUUACUGGACAUUAGUUAUUUUAUUAGAGAUUUUUUUUUUUUUUUUUUAUCUCUAGCUCAAGUGACUUAUUGCACAUUUACACUUGAUGAUUUUUCAAUUUUAAAAUGUUGCCCACUUAAGGGAGUACUUACUAGCUUCUACUUAGCUGCUAGGUUAAUAGUAUGUAAACACAUGUUUCCACUCGGAGUUAUUCUUCAGUUUUCACUAAACAAUUUACCUGUCUCAAGGUUUUAUCUUUUAUGGAGAUAGAUUUACGAGUUUCCAUGACUGCUCAAAACCAUGAUGGUAUUAUCAUGAUUCAUAACAUAUUUCAUAUGCUUUCUUAAGUUUUUGUUCUUUGACUCUGAAGCUCGCUCAAUGUAUAGAUGUGUAUGACUGUUACUUAAAUUGGUAGGGUAUUCUAGGAGGUUACAGUUUUCAUAUUCAAAGUUGAAUCUCUAAUAGCUGAGAAUGUUGGAGGUUUCUGUUUCUGGUUUGAUCUUUGAUCUAGUUAAAGCUUUUAGCUGGGUCAUCCAAUCCUUCAUAACUUUUGCAGCAGUUGAACAUGAAUUAACAAAAAAGUACAAAAAAUUCAGGAAGUAUUUAAAUAAUUUAUGGAUCUAACUCCCCUGCAUUGAAUUGAUUGUAUUAAAUUCCUCUUUUCUUUCCUUUUAAUCUGUGCUUGCUUACUUGGAGCUCCUUUGUGUAGGACAGUUUCCCUUUCUUUUCUUUGUAGGCUUGGUUUUUUGUAUGCCCAUGCUUGUAUUCUUUCAUUUUUUCUCAAUGAAGUUGUUGCUUUUAUCAAAAAAGAAAUCUGUGCUUUCUUAUGCUCGAAAUCAUUUUUGCUUCCAGUUCAAGUAUUUCUUUUGUUUUUUUUAAAUUCAAAUGUUGGUCCAUUUACCUCAAUAGAUGACCAGAAUUCCUCACCUAUUCACCCUGUGUCAAUCAUUGAGUAUGAGUUUUUUUUUUUAUGAAAACGAUAACUUUCCUUGAGAAAAAAAUGAAAAAAUACAAGGGCAUACAAAAAAACCAGCCCACCAAAACACCCUAAAAUCAGUAUGUUAUCUUCUCUGAAGGUAGAGUUCAAAAGUAUUUAGAUGAUGAUAUUAGUUAAAAGAAUCUUGACAGGGAUGUCAAUGAAGUAGUUCGAUAUGCAAGGGACACUAAACAGAUAUAGAGUGGGAUGCUUUAGUUGGGGUGCAUCUGGAAAUUAAACAUAUGUCAAUCAAGUAGUUUUAGUUGGGGUGCUUUUGUGGGCUUUUUUUUGUAUGCCUUAUAUUCUUUCAUCUUUUCUUAGUGUAAGUUGUUGCUCUUAAAAAAAGAAAAACAUAUAUAGAGUGGUAGGAAAAAGAGGACAAAGAGAGAGAAUAGGAGGUUUGACUUUUUGCCAAAAUAUAGUUUGAGGUUUAUUUGUGAACGUGAUAAAGUAAUUGUAAUUCUAAAGGCGAGACAGUUAAGUUGCAAGAGCUAUAUACUUGUCAAAUUUGUUUCAUGCCUACAAUCUAAAUUGUCACACACAAAUGACGUUUCACACUAGGUUAAGGCCUGACUUGCUAAAAGGAUCUUCAUUUGAUUACUUGUUCAAGUGUUGAAGCAUUAUGUGUAAAAUGUUUGAACUAGACAAGACUUUAAACUUGUGCAAAAUCACGUUGGAUUUUGUAACCAAACCUGAUAAGCUUGUAGAGUACCUUUAAAUUUAUAUUUGAUUAUUACUUUUAAACCCUGGUACUUAGGCUGCCUCCCAUUGUUAUUUUGAACAUGUAUCUCUCUGUUUCAUAUAAAAAUAUACUAGUAGAUUUUAGCUAGUACUUUAUUCAGAUAUCUAAUCCAGAGUUUUUAUUUGGUUCUGAUCAAAUCGACUUUAUAUAAUCAUCAAAUAGCUUGUUUUCAUUGUUCAUUUCUCUAUAUUCUGGAAUAUAGUCUAACAGAUAUAUGGAGGUUUAAAGCCUUUCUUUAAAACAUUUUCCCAUUAUCUGCUUCUUUCUGUAACGGUAAGAGGUUGAUGCCUAAGUUAACAACUGCUCCUCCCCUCCCCCCCCCCCCCCCCACACACACACACACCCCCCCCACAAAAAAAAAAAAAAAAAUACAAAUCAAUAGUUACUAUCCUAGUAGCUUAUGGAAAUUAAUGUGCCAUGCUAACUUUAACUUCUUUCUAGUAUUUGCCUUUUCCCUUAUUGUUUUGAAUGCAAAGUGGACUCGUAUAUUCUAAUACUGGAUUCUAACCAUAUUAUUUCUUGCUGAAGUUUUAUCUUUUGCACAUCUGUUUUUAAAUUCUCAUUGGGUUGUUUUGGGGUAAGUUUUUGUACUUUGAAGCACAUAUUUUCUGAUAUAUAGCAAGGCCUAAUAAGUAUUUGUUUUUUCUUUCUCUUUGGCAGUCUUUCCAGCAUAAAAGCUUUUGGAUACCUAGGGAUGCUGGAUGUUUAACUGAUGGAGAGAUGAACUAUGACAGCUCCUCCAGAAUUGAAACCAAACGUGGCCAUCAAUGGUUCAUGGAUGGCAGUGCACCAGAGCUAUUCAGUAGCAAGAAGCAAGCAAUUGAAGCUGUAAAUUCUAGACCUGUUCCUGGAGUUCCACACAUGAAUGUUUCUCCCUGGGAAAACUCAAGUUUUCAGUCAGUCCCUGGACACUUCACUGAUCGUCUUUUUGGCUCAGAGCCAAUACGAACUGUUAACUUGGUUGAUAGAGGCAUCUCUGUGGGAAAUGCAAAUAUGGACAUGGGAAGAAAGGAGUUUGAGAAUCAUUUUACAAACAACCCAUCUGUUGGCUUGUCCAUGUCUCAAUCCAUUGAGGAUCCCUCAUCAUGCCUCAAUUUUGGGGGAAUUAGAAAAGUUAAAGUCAAUCAAGUGAGGGAUCCUGACGUUGGCAUGCCUGCUUCUUUGGGGCAUGCCUAUACUAGGGGUGAUAAUUGUACAAUUUCGAUGGGUACAGGAUUUAAUAAAAACCAUGAGAACACCAUAUCAUUGGGCCAAACUUAUAAUAGUAGAGAUGAGAAUGCCAUUUCGGUUGGCCCUGCAUAUCACAAGACAGAUGACAAUUUUAUUUCAAUGGGUCAUGCUUUCAGCAAGGGUGAUGGGAGUUUUAUUACAAUUGGUCAUAACUAUAGCAAGGGAGACAAUAGCAUCUUAUCGAUGAAUCAGCCUUUUGACAAGGGGGAUGACUCUUUUAUUUCAAUGGGUCAAUCUUAUGAGAAGGCUGAAGGAAAUAUCAUCUCUUUUGCCUCCUACAAUAAAGGGCAAGAAAAUUUUAUAUCAAUGGGGCCAGCCUAUAGUAAGGCGGGUGAUACUUUCAUUUCAAUGGCUUCAUCUUUUAAUAAGGGGAAUGAUGACAACUUAUCCAUGGCUCCCACCUAUGACAAGGUGAACUCUGACAUUGUACAUGUUGGUCCUAAAUUUGACAAAGCAGAUUCUGGUGCUGUGUCAAUGGCUCACAACUAUCAUAAGGGUGAGAGUAAUACCAUAUCUUUUGGAGGUUUUGAUGACGAGAAUGGGACAGAUAAUCCCUCUGGUGGGAUCAUUAGCAGUUACGACUUGUUAAUGGCUAAUCAGGCUUCUGCCCAGGCAUCAGAAGUAUCAACCCUGAGAGACUCAGUUGAUCCCAAUGUGGAAGUAAACAUUAACGGUGCCAUAAAGGUUGAUGGAAAAAUUGACACAAAUUCCAAAAGUAAAGAGCCAAGGAUGAGUAAGAAGGUUCCACCAAAUAGCUUCCCUUCAAAUGUCAAAAGCUUGCUCUCCACUGGUAUGCUUGAUGGGGUUCCUGUGAAAUAUGUUUCUUGGUCACGGGAGGUAUAAUUUUUUAUUUUUGUUUUUGUCUAAAUAAUUUUCCCUUUAAUCUGAUAAUCUGGAGAAUGCUAUGAAACUAAUUAGUUUUUUGCCACGUUUAUGCUGGGAAGAAAAAUCUCAAGGGAAUUAUUAAAGGGACUGGAUACUUGUGCAGUUGUGAGAACUGCAAUCAUUCAAAGGUAACUUGCGAAAUUCAAGAUUCCUUCUUUCUCUUGGGGUAGUAAGGAACGUACAGCUCUAAUUAUAUGAUUACGGUUCCUAAGUGAGUUGCAUUGCACAGGCUCUCAAUGCUUAUGAAUUUGAGAGGCACGCUGGCUGCAAAACCAAACAUCCAAAUAACCAUAUUUACUUUGAGAAUGGGAAAACUAUCUAUGCUGUUGUUCAAGAGCUGAAGAACACCCCUCAGGAGAUGCUAUUUGAUGCAAUCCAGAAUGUGACUGGCUCUCCCAUUAAUCAGAAGAACUUCCGUAUUUGGAAAGGUAAUUCUUGUUGUUUUAGCCUUUAACAAUUUUUACAUGAGCACAUCAGUAUAAAUAUGAAGAAAUAUGGAAGUUAACUGUAGGAGAGAUUUGAAGAAAAAAAGGAAUGAAAGAAUGAGAGAGAGCUGCAGGGUGUUUCUCAUUUUGGCUGGUCAAAGAUGGGGGAGCCAAGAAGGUUUGUUGGGCUUUGAUGGAAUGGUUUUAUAAAACCACGCGAGUCAUUAUAGCACAAGAACAACCAUGAGCCAAACCCUCUUUAGUUUCAAACCUCUUCCUUUGUUAGUUUUGUCAUCUUCAAAUUGUGCUCAAUGCCUCAAUCUGAUAGGAAUGGUAUUUGGGUAUUGAUGGUAUAUAUUUGGGAUCCUCGUGAAGGAAAAGAUAGUAGUUUGGUAUCUUGUAGAUUUCACAUGUGCCUAUACACUCUUUAUAAGCUUACACACAGACGCACAUAUGAAAGUAGUGUUUAUAGGUUUAAUUUUUUAUCUUAUAAAAAAGUAAGCUUAAUUUUAGAAAACAAAAGAUAAAAUGGUGUAAUCAUUUGAGUCCGAGGGCUAUUUAUUUAUUUAUUUAUUUUUGAGGUGGAGCUCCCCUCACAAUAUGUAGAGAGCCACUUACUUUUUCAGGAAGAAAAUUAUCAGAAUCUAGUAGAACACCUAUUGUGUAUGUCUAUUUUUUAAAAAUAAAAUUUAUAGUAAGCAUUUAUAUUGAAGAUUCUCACUUUUUCUUUCAUUCCUACUCCACAGCAUCUUAUCAAGCUGCCACCCUCGAACUCCAGCGUAUUUAUGGAAAAGAUGAAGUAAUUAUGCCUUCUUGAGAUGGGGAUUUUCCUUUUUAAUUUUGAGGUAGGCUAUGUGUUGUCAUUCAUUUUUACUUUUAAUACAUGACGAAGCCCAUGUCUACAAAUAUAUGCUUUUCUGUUUAAUCUAGAUUAAGUUGAUAGAAUAUCGAGGGGAAGUUUUGGAUAACCAUAUACUUGUAAGUAGGUGGCUAAUGGCUUUGGAUUGUGCAAUUGGAUGCACGGUGCCAUUUCCUACCUCACCUUUAGUAACUAAGAUAGUGCUCCCAACUGUUUUAUUUUGCUCCCAAAAUUUUGAGUUGUAAAGAUUAAAGAAAGAUCAUGUGACAGCAUAGUGUAAAGUGUUGUUACAUUUACAACUUUAAGACAUGAAAUAGAAAAAUAGUGAUCAAAAUGUUUAGAAGCCAUCUCAUUGGUUCUUUUUCAGGAAUAUUCAUCUUUAUGUUUCUUAUUAAAAAAUGUUUCGAAGCAGAACUAACUACUGUACCAUCUUAGUUUUCCCAUCUCACUCUUUUACUAGUUUUAUCCUUAAGUUCACACAAUGUAGCUAGCUCUUUGUGACACAAAUAUAGACAAGGAAAAUUAGAACUCUCUUUGUGACACAAAUAUAGACAAGGAAAAUUCCAAGUAUUUUCAAUAACCUAGGAUAAAUGAGCAUGUAAGCGAAGCAUCUUGGGGACAUGGAGCGCAAAGGCUGGUGUGUAUGCUGGUGGUGUUCCAUCUCUGCAUGAGAUGUAUUUCUUAUUUGUUUUGUUUUGUUUACAUAUUACUUUAUUUGCUGAUACGUGUAUUAUACCACUUGUAGACCUCAAAGAUAUACCUACCAGGGUAUUUAAUCACAGGAUGGAUUUGUAAUCAAAACAUUGCCUAAGUGAGUAAAUUGUAAACCGGUAGUUGCAAUCAAAGAUGAUAUGGAUGAAUGGCGAUUGAUGAAGGUGCUAUUCGGUCAGGUCAACUACCUGCCGACUUUUGAAGACUUCAUUUUGAUCACAAGUGUGCAUUGCUCAGAAUGCCUUCUGCUUUUCCUUUCAUGUUACAUUUUGUUCUUUAUAUUAUAUCCCCCUCUUUAGCAGAAUUGUAUUUUGAAACAUUUUAGCUGCAAUAGAAUAGUAUGAAACAACCAUCUAGCUCUUUGAAGCUAAGAAAACUAGUGGCAAUGGGUUGGUUUUAAACAAAAACACAAACUAUUAUUAAUAUAGCCUUCAACAAAUGCAAAAGUUACAAAUACAUUUUGGUUGAAAUGAAAAUGCAGGGUACUUCAAAACACAUACACUUGCUACAUAUAUUAACAGAUACCAUUACAGGUGGAAUAGAAAAUCAUCAUUUUGUCUCUCUGGUAACAUCAAGCGAGAUGAAUUCUUGACUCGGUUGAACCGUCCUCUUCGAAGCCUCAUCUGUUUCAGUCAUUUGUUGCUUACCAUCAGAGUCUGAUUUAACUAAAAGCUUAUCUUUUCUUUUGCCCCACAAAACCAGGUACAACCCAGUGAUUAUGGUCACUGCUCCAACAAUCCUACAAAAGAGUUGAAAGCUUUAGCAAGGUUGUUUCUCAAUAGGCAACUGAAAAUGAUCUCUCUUGUAGAUCUAUUAAUUGCAUUGCCCUUUUCAGUCUUGUUAGGAAAUUUUGGGCCUUCCACUUACCUUCCCAACAACAUAAUCUCAGAUAAGAUGAAGGAGCUCAUGAUUGCAACAAAAAUCAUGGAUAGAGGAUUGAAUGCAGUGACAAAAACAGGCCCUUUUAUUUGCAUCACCAUUCCUUGAAUGUAGUAUGUUACCCCUGAACAAAUUACACCCUACAACAAACCAUAAAUGUUAUGUUAUUACUUUGUAAUCAUUCAACACAACAGCAAAAAUCUAUACUUACAGCAUAAACCACAGAUAGAAGCUGGCUAUCAAAGUGCAAAGCCCAAGCAGAAGGGUUCCCUCUCUCCAUGACCAAAGCCACCAAACAGCCUCCAACGGUUGCCACUAAACAUAUCAAUGCUGUAAGGGAUAGCUCGGCUGGGUACAAUUUCAAUGUAAUUGCCUAAUUCAAUCGACAUCAAGUUGAUUAGUUUCUGAUUAUUUUGAGUAGGCAAAAGUGAAACUUUUGUUUAUUUACCUGAAGAAUGAUGAAAGCUGACUGGCAAAUGCAGCCAAUAGUUAUCAUGAGGGAGCCCUUGAUUUGGUUGUGGUGAUUUAUUGAAGAAGAUGAAGAAGAAGAAGAAGAGGGGUGGUUGGGUUUUGUCCAUGGCAGAUUCAACAUGGGUCCUCUUAUGAAUGUCAUAAUCAUGGCUCCUCCUAUUGUUACUAUGGUUCCUACUAUUUUUGCUUGGCUUCCUCUUUUCCAAAUAUUCACUCUCUCGAGCCUGCCAUAUAUCAAUGUUCGUAUUGUUUCAUUGAAAUUCUUAUAAUUUAGAUUAUGUAUUCCUAUAUGCAACCAUUUGUGGAGGGUUAGCUUUCUCCCUUUACCCGAAAUUGUGUUAUGAAACAAUGAUGAGAAAAAAGUAUUAUGGGCGUAAAGUUCGAAUAACCCCACCCUCAUAAUUCAAUGGCUAUAUUUUCAAAAAGAAAAAAAGUGUUUGGUUUUUAUUUUCUGUUGGAGUUCAAAAGUUGGGAUAAAAAAAAAGAGGAAGAGAUUACACAUUGAUUGGAACUUUAUGAACUACCAGACAUUGGUACACAGCUGUGGGAUUUGAACCCACUCAACAAAGUGAUUCUCUUUAAAGUUAUAUAUUUCUUAUAUUGGAUUUUAAUUAUUAUGUGCAUAAUAAAAUUAAAAUUGACUGGAUCUUCUAUCCAAAUAAAAAAAGAAAAAAAACAUUCAAUUUAAUCAUAUUAAUUCUUUUUUUUUUAAAUCCAAUCAUAUUAUAGUCUGCUUCUCUUUUUUAAAAAUUCAAUCAUAACAUAGUUUUAUUUUUGGUUUUUGAAAACUAAGUUUGUAUUCACUAUUUCUUUAUCGUAUUUAAUAGAAAUUAAUGCAAAUCAUUAUAAAACGUAAAAGAGAAAAAAAGACUUAGUUUUCAAAAACAAAAACAAAAAGCAAAAUAGCCAAGGGCCGUUUAGUAACUAUUUUGUUUUUGUUUUUUAAAAUCAAAAGCUUUCUUUUUUUUCAUUUUCAGUUUUCCUUCCUAAUUUAAACAACAAGUUUCUUGUUCUAAAACAAAAAGAUGAAUUAGAACUCUAACACACCCAUUUUUAAAAAAUUAAAAAACAAAAAUGAAAGAAUUGCGAAGGCCAAAAUUUUCAAGCUUAAUUUAGAUUUGAUUCAUAAACUUUAUAAACUUCAGAUUUGAUCCUUCCAUAUUUUUGUUUGAGUACUUCCAAAGUUCACCAAUUAUUAAUUUAGCAUUUAGAUUAGAAUUAGAAUAUGUUUGAAAAACCCUAACACACGUAAGUGACACAAUAUGUCUUUAUUAAAACUUAAUAUAAAAAGUUAUCAACAGUCACCAAAUAUAGCACUUUUAAUACAAUAUAAUGUUAUGGGAGACAACAAAAAGGGUCCUUUGAAAAGUUAAUUAUUUCAUGUACAAAACAUUACAGAAAAAGAAAAAAAGAUCCAAACCAACAAAAGACUCAAAAACAUUUCAUAAAAUCGUCAAAUAGACACGUAAAGAAAUUAAAGCUCAACUUUUAAUGUCUGAUAAGGGUCGAAACUUCGAAUCCCCCACUACACGUAUUAAACUCGAAAAGAAAAGAAAAAAGGAAAAAUUCAAAGGGGUUGAUGAUUUCUUUUAGAUAAAUGAAAGUUUUGAAAGUGAAAGUACCUGCAAGCCCAAGCCAUGAGGAAAGCAAAAGCAGGAAGAACAUUGCACAUGGCAACUGCAAAGGUUGCUGUUGUGUACUUCAUACCAGUAAAGUAUAAGUUGAGAUCAAUCACUGGCCUAUAUCAUUCAUAAACAACGACGUCCAUACAAAGAUUAGAUUUAUCGUAAUUUAUCGUAAAACCCAGUUUAAAGACACCUUCUAAUCCAAAACUUCCAUGAAAGUAAUAAUAAUCUAGUCCAUGAACUUCAGUUUGUAAUGAUUUUCUGACCUCCAUACUUCCAAACUCAUAACAAUUGUAUCACUAAAACAUCAAUAAGUAAAACAAUAUAGUCCUUUUGUGUUUUAAGAUUUGUAAUAAUUUUCUCUAUUAAUAUUACUUAAUUAAAUUUCUCACACAUAUAGGUCCACAAAUGGAUUGAAAAUCAGAUUUAUUUGUAACCCAUGCAAAGUUGGUACCUUAUUUUGAUGAGAUUUUUUACACAAUAAUAGGAAAUAAAUUGUUCAGAUUUUAAAGUGUAUAUAUAGAGAUUAUAUAUUGUGAUUUGAUUAAAAUUAAUAUUAAAGUAAAUUGCUAUCCGCUAGUUUAGAAACUAAAUUAUUAUGUUUAUAGAAGUUUAGAUAAUAAAAGUGUUUUUUAACUGAUAAAAUAAAAAUAGGACGUAAUUUUUUUAAGAUAGCAAAGAUAAAUAUAUACCUUCGACGUGAAAGAAAGAGAAAUAAAAAUGGAUAUGUAGAAGAUGUUAAAGAGAAAAGAAUGUUAAAUAAAGAAAUGAAGUUUUAUUGGAUUGAAAUGAAGUGAAUGAAUGGUGGGGAUCAUACUCAAGAAGACCAAGCAUCACAAUCUUGAAGGCCAACGAAAUGGUCAUCUUCGUCCUCACUUUCCUGCGCCAUGCAAAAACUAAUUAUACCUCACACCCUUCUAUACAACACAUCAUAUAGGAAGUAUAUUAAUCUUAAUAAUAUCCAUUUCAUAACUAUUUAUUUAUUUAUUUUUCGUUUUAAAACUUAAGGUAGAAAACACCACUUCUUUCCUUUAUAAAUGGUUCGUUUUCGAUUUUCGAAAAUUUAAGAUACAAACACUAUCUGUAUCUCUCGGUUUCUAAGUUUUAAAAUAAAAAGAAGCAGCUAAUUUUCUUUUUUUUUUUUUUUUUAUAGAAAUUUUACUAAUUUUUUUAGUGUUUAUUUAGGAAAUGAUAAAACCAUUCUAAAUAUUUGGAUGAAAAACAAGCACAAAUUUUUAAAAACUAAAACUUUUAAAAAGAAAUAUUGAUUAUUGGAGUACCAUUAUUUUUGUUUUUGAAAUUUGGUCAGAAGUUAAGUAAAACUAAAUACGAAAAAUUAUUAAAUGAACAUAAAUUAUAUAUGAGUGUGUACCACUCAAAUAUUUCACUUAAAAGAUGUUAAAUUCAACCCACAAUCUUAAGAUUUUAAAUACAUUGUUUAAUAUCUAAUUAUUGAAACAACUCAAUUAGUAUAUAUUUUCUACCAAAUAAAUCAGUAUAAGUCAAAAUUUUACUUCAAUGAAGCAUAAAUAUUUUGUGAAAUGUUUUAUUUUUGAAAUAUUUUUCUAUUUUAAUUUUUUUUGAAUAAUUAAAUUGCCUUCUUAAUCUUCAAAUAUUGAUAGUUAAGUUAAUUAAGGGUGUUUGGUACAUUUUAGUCCCAAGUUUUUAAAAAUAGAUUUAAAAUACUCUAAAAGUAUUUUUUUGUUUGAUUUUUAAAGAAUAAUUAUAUGAUUUUAAAAUUGGAAAAAAAUAGUGUUAGAGACUGUAAUUUUUAGAAAUUAUUCUUCUAAUUAUAAAUGACAUGUAAUUAUAAUUUAAAAUAAAAGUAUAAAGUUAUUUGAGAGACGUUUUAAUCUAAUUUUUAAAAUUCAGGUACUAAAAGUUUUUGAAAAUUAGGGAUCUCAAACCAGUCAAUUUUUAUAAACAUGAGAAUUAACUUUUUUUUUUUUUUAACUCAGACACAAAAUACACAUAUUCUUCAAAAUUUUAAGCAUUAAAAAAAGAAACUUUUUCUAUAUUUUUCAUGAUACACAAUAACACCAAGCAACACUCUAGUUUUAUACAUGUAUGGAUACUAUGAUUAAACAAAAAUUCUGAGUAAUUAAACAACUAUGAUUAAAGAAGAGUUUAGUACAUAAAAAACUGUGAUCAAGCAACUGUGAUUGGAGUACACCAAAUAAGAUUUGUGGUGUACAUACCAAAAUAAACCUAAAUAUUUUUCAAAAACAAACUAUCAGACAUGGUUGGCAAUUAGUAGGUAAGUAUAGAGACAAAAGAGAAAGAAAGGGGUAAUAAAUGACCUUUCAAAGAUGAUGGCAAAAGGAGCCAUGAUAACAGUAGCAAUAAUCAUACGAUAAAACACAAAAACAUAUUGGCUCAUCCCUUUGUUCAAAGCAAACUUUGCAAUAAUCGCCAUUCCAGCUGAACCCAAUUGCAUAAAAAGAACUCCAAAAUAUGGCUUUGCCAAAACCAAAAACCUCCUAAGACCCUCCAUCUCUUUCCCUCUCCUUUGUGUGUCGUUUGUUCAAAGCCUUCAGCUUACUGAUAUGAAUAUAGAAUUACACACAGACACACAGACACACACAAUGCCUCAAAUUUUACAUGCUUUUUAUAAGCAAAGUUUUAAGGACUUCCACCACUCAAACCAAAAAGAGAGGAUGAGACAAGAAAAGGAUCAUAUCCAAACAAUUAUUAACAAAUAAAUUAAACAAAAAAAAAAAAAAAAAAAAACUUAUAGUGUCACAAGAGAAGAUGGUUUCCACAUGUGUAAAGUGAGAAGUGCCACCAAUUUUGCCUUUGUUUCAUUUUUAUGCUGACCAAGGAUAGGUAUCCAUUAUGAGUGCGCUGAAAUUGAAGUUUCAUCAACAAGAGGGUUUGUUUUUUAUAUUAUUCUUUUGUUAAAAGAUGGUCUUAAUAAGGUACUAAUUAUCUUUCUCUUUUCAAAGAUUAUAAUUAAGCUCUAGGCCGCCAUGACGUGGUUAUCUCGGAGGCAUUUUUGUGGUAAAAAGUAGUGUUGUUCAGUCGUUGUGGAAGUCUAUAACGUAAUGAUCAUAUAUAUUAAUUCAUGAGAUUGAUAUUUUUUAGUUGUAGACUUCACAAACUCUGUAAAUUAAACAGGAGUGAAGUUCACACUUCCUCUCUCCCAACUCCUACUUAGCUUCUUGUUAAUGUAUGCUUUUAAUAACAACCAGGACUAGGUGUAUAUUUGGAACAUCUCUAUAGUAUCCUUGUUAAUGUAAUUAGGGAUGCACAUUUUUAAAAUUCUCUUGCAUACAUUUAAGGGUGCAAAAUUAUAUUGACUACAUUGCGGUGGCCACAUUAUAGAAAUAAUCUCUCAUAAAUUUCAAACGAUAGAGAGCAUAUAAGUAGUAAAUGGAAAAUAGUUAAUAGUGAUAUGGUUUGUGGAAAAUGCAUGGUUUUCUUUUUCUUCUUCUUCCAUGGUUUGUAUUUUCCCCCCAUGUGUGUAGUGUGAAUAAAAUUUCAUACUACUUCCUUUAUGGUAAGUUUAUGAAGAAGAUGUAUUUGAGAAUGGUAUGACUUGGCGAGUACAUAAAAUAAAGAGUUUAUUUUAAAUAAACCAAAAUAAUCAUAAAAUAUAACCAAUUUUUUUAGUAAAUUGAUUGAUUUAUAAUUGAUAUAUUUUGAAAUUUUGUUAUAUAUAUAUAGUUUGUAUAUACUUUUUCUAAUAUAAAAUAUUAUAUAAUUUAACACGUCAAAUUUUAAAAUGGAAGUGGCAUGGGCUAGAUAAACUUCUCCCGGUAACUACUUGUUUUCUUUUAAUUUUUAAAAUUAGGAUUAUAAACAUGAUUUCCACAAAUAGAUUUUUUUUAAAAAAAGUACCUAAUCAUGUUUUGAAAAUUAAAAACGAUUAUUCUAGAAACGACAAUUUUUAAAUAUAGUAAAAUAAACUAAAAUAUUUACAAAUUAUAAUAAAAUUGUAGAUUCUAUUGAAUGAUAGAAACUGAUAAACUUCUCUAUCACAGUAAAUAUAGUAAAAUUUUUUAUUAAUUUUAUAAAUAUUUUGUCAAAUUUACCAUUUUUUACUAUUCCACUUGUAAAGAUUUACUUUUGUUUUUAAAUUUGACUACGAAUUAAAAUAAUGUUGCUCUACAAAAGAUGAAAACCAAGGCAAAAGAAUUUACGAGAUAACAAGGUAACAUUUUCAAAAACUAAAAGCAAAGAACAAAAAUGUGAACUUAGUUUUAGGCAACUGAGUUUUUUUUUUUUUUGUUGUUUUUAGUUAUGUCUAUACAGUUGAUUGGAAAUCUUAGAUUCAUGAACUUUUUUUCUUUUUAAUUCGAGAGUUUUUGUUUUGUUUGUUAAUGUUUGCUUUUGUUGGUUUGUGUUUAAUAAAUUGCCAACUUUUAUUGUAAAUUUAUUUGAUAGAAAAUUGGUAAAUACAAAGAUAUAUUAGCACAAUUUCUUAGGAUUUAAAGACUUCUUAGACCCAACUUAGGUUGAAAGAACUUAACUGUACAAUUUAAGUUUCUUUCAUAGAAAAAUAAUGGGAUGUUUCUUAAGAUUGGUUCCAAAGUUUGGGAUCUCAAAUUGAUUUUUUAAAAUUUCAAAAUGAACACUUUAGUUAUCGAGAUAUUUUAAAAAUAAUUGUACAUGGUCCUUGAGUUAAUUUGACCGUUUGUUUGACUAGUAUAAAACUGAUAUAGAAUGUGUGUUGACAAAGUUGAUGCACGGAGAUUAGUGUAAUCCCGAUUGCAUUUAAUUAUUACUCUAGGUAAUGUUUGAUCAAAUUUAAUAUAUUUUGGUCUCCUUACAUUUAUACACAUAUUUCAAUUUUAGUCCAUUCAAAACUCUAAUUUUUAGUUUAGGUAAAAAAAUUUACUCUAAUUUUAACUAUUUUGUUAUAGACUUUUUUUCAUAAACUUAAUUUAUAUAGACUCUGAAAAUGAAUUUACAUAUUACAUUUUUUACAUCAAAUUAUUUUAAAAUUGAAUAAACUUCGUAAUACAAGAUUGGAUAGUAUAUUUUAAGGAAAAUUGCAUUAUACGACAAAAAGAUUUAUAAAUUUUGCAAAUAUAACGGCAAUCAAAUGGUAAUUUAACGAUAAUCUGUUUUAAAAUUUUUAAAUUUUAUAAUUUUGAAAAUGUAAGUGACAUAGACUCUAUUAUCAUAAAUUUGUUUUGCUAUUUUUACAAAGACUCCAUAUUUUAACCUAUUGUUUUAAUUUGUUUCUUAGAUAUUUAUAAAAUCUUUCAAUAUUUCUUAGGUACGAUAAGAUGAUGAAAAAUAUACUUUCAACUUUAGGUUUGAGUUUGGUUUCAACUUAAGUCAGUUAAAUAUUUUUUAUAAGUGUUUAUAUGCAUAAUUUUGUUUAGUUUUUCGUAUAAAAAAAAUAAUUAUACUUAAUUCAAAUUAUCAUAAUUACCAUAACGGACUAUUAAAUAGUAUGAAUUAAUUUUAUAAUUAAGAAACAUGUGUAUUUUGAUUUUUUUAAGAAAAAAUAUAUUUUAAAACUAAUCACACCCAAUACUAUUUACUAAUUUUAGAAAUUUGAAAUUAUUGAAGUUAAAACUAGAACAUUAUUCUUUUGUAUUGAAAUUUUUUAGAACAAAAAAAUAUACUUAAAUUCAUAAGCAUACAAAUUAUAAUUGAUCUCUAACGACGAACCAAACAUAAUAGUAAUAUCUUUCUUCCAAGUAAUGUAAUAAUAAAAAAUGUGGAAGAGAAGGGUUGGAGGAGGAGGAGGAGGAGGGUUAGUAUGAGGGGUGUUUUAGGAAUUUUAACAUAACAUAAAAAAUUUCAUGAAUUUUCAGUCAAUCACUAAACUUAUUUUCUCAAAUUUUAAUUUUGUGCGUUUUUUAAAAUGAAUUAUUUUUUAAUCUUAUUUUUAAAAAUGCAUUUUCAAAAGUUACCUAUCUUCUUUCAUUUUUUUUUUAAAUUGAAAUAUUUUAAAAAGUAAUCCAAUCACACUUCAAAUUGAAUCAUUUGAUUAAUUUUGUGAUUGUUUAACAUGAGAAAUCAAAGAUGUUGAUUUGUUUGUUUUUCUUGUAAAAUUUUUUAAAAAUAAAAACACAGUGAAGAUUAAACUCAAGAUCCCAUGGUCCUUAGAUGCAUACAUGUGUCAUUUUAGUUAAGCUCUUGACUAUGGUUUUUUUGGGAGAUUAUUUGCUUAAUUAUAACGUAUAGUGAAAAAUAUUCCAAAAAAAAUCUAAAAUUUUGGUAUCGAUGUAAGAUUAUCGCUUUAUUCAUUUCUUUUGAUAAAGAAAAUCAAAUCAAACAAAAUAAAUCAAUAAUUUUUUUGAAAUGUUAUUGGCAAUAACAUAACGAUAAAAAUAUAUUUUUAAAAACAGAAACUUAUUUCGUACGUUAGUAUUUGUUCUACAAUAUCAGAUAAAAUAAAAAACCUAACAUUUUUGGAAUGUUAUUUGUAUCCAUUAUGUACGUAAUCCAAAUCCAAAAUUUUGGAAUAUUAUUUGUCGUAUCGAUAAAAUAAUUCAAAAACUCCAAUUUUUUUCUUUUUUUUUUGAAAAAUGGUUAAGUAAACAACAUCAAUCAAUAGUUAUAUUUAUAAGUGGGUUAAGUAAAAGCAAUCAAAACCAAUGUAAUUAACUUUCAUUAGGAUCUAUAUAAACGUAGCCUUAGUUUUAAACUUUUUGGAAGCUACACAUUUAGUUGGGAGUUGAAAAUAGUCAAUUUUUUUUAAGUUAUGACAUCAUUUUCCAUUAAUUAUUUUAAAAUAGAAAUGUUUUAAAAAAUAUAUUCUUUUUCUAACUCAUCCUUUUCCUCUUUUUCAAUCCUCCCAUUCAUUUGCUUUUCCUUUUCAUUUUUUUUUUUUUAUCUUUUCUCUUCUCGAAAAAGAACAAGAGAAAAAAGAGAAAAGAAAAGAAAAGAUGAAAAGAAGAAAGUAGAUUCUAUUUUUCUCUUUUGGUAUGAUUAUUUCACUACCGAAAACCAUCAUGUCAUUGAAACAUUGUUCUCAACCAAUCAAACACCAAUUUGUUUUCACUUUCAACAAUAGUAUGCCUUUUUCUCUAUACAUUUUGUAACCCAUUUUCUUUCUUUCUACAAACAAAUUAAACAAUAAACCAAACAAAUAGGAAGUUGGGCAACCUGAGUAAUAAAAUUGAGAAUUAUCGUAAAUGGCAUAACCGUUGAAAAUAUUUUUAAAAUUUUACAAUUUCUUGUCUAUGCAUUGUUGGACUAAAAGAAAUAUGUAAUAAAACUAAGAAUAGAACGUGAGAGCAAAAUAAAGACUAACUUGUUUAUAACUUUUAAUUUUUAGUUUUCAUGAUAUUAUUAGGACAAUUCAUAAAUCUUUUUAGUUUUUAUAGUUUACAUAGUAUUUAGCCAAAUUCAAACAUUUAAAUGUUAGAUAAUUAAUAUCUAUACCUAUAAAACAAAGAUGAGAUAUUUGCAUGUGAACGAAAAUAGGAUGAGCUAAAGUGUUUGUUUUGAUAUCUCAAUAACUAAAUAGACACAUAAACCUAAAACCUCAAGUAACAAAAGUGUAUUUUACCUCAAAAGUUUUUUAAAAACAUGCAUUAUUAUGUUUUUCAAUUUGGAGACCAAAAGUGUAAUUUACAAAUAUAUAGUAAAAUUUUAGAAAAAUUUAUUCAUGUCUAUCAUUGAUAUAUAGAUUCUAAAAUUUUACUAUAUUUUUUAAAAAAAUAUUAUGCUUUGGAAACAAAUCUUCUUAAAAAAACAAGUAUUAGACUUGAAUUUUUAGCCAAAUUUUAAAAUAAAAAACAAAAUUUUCUAACAAAUUUUAAACUUGAAUUUUUAGGCUUUGUAUCAGUUAUAGAUAUAAAAAAUGGUAGCAGUACAAUAAUAAAUAUUAGACCAAUCACAAAAUCAAAUUAACGACGAAAUUACAAAUAAUUAAAUUUAAGACUAAUUAAAAAAUGACAUCAAUUUCAAUUUGAAAUUGAAAACAUAAAUUGAGUUUUUAUUAUGAUAGUUGGAUCCAAUUAAUUAUUUUUUAAUUCAAUUAAAUAUUAUUAUUUGAAGUUGGAAAACAAAAAAGAAAAAAAAAAUACUUAAUUUAACCCAAACCCGGAAUAAUACUCAAAUUCAUGUUAAUUAUAAGAAAAUUUAUUUGCAUACUUAUAUUCAUUUAAGAAAUCACAAUUUUUCUCUAAUUCAAAAUUCAAGAAAUUGGUUUUUAUCAAUAACUCACAUUAACGUGUAAUAAUUUACAAUCUUUUUAAAAAAAUGUAUGUAUAUAUAGAUGUAUGGAAUAUAAUUUUUAUUUUCAUCAUAUAAAUUAAAUAAUUUAUAUUGUUCUUUAAUUUUAAAAUCUCGAUUAUUAUUGUUUUUUAAUCCUUUUUAGAUUUAUUUUUUAAAAAAAUUAAGUUAGUUUUCAACUUUUGUUUUAAUCUUCAAUAUAUCUAAAAUCUUAAGCUCAGAGAAAAUUUAAUAUGAUAUCAUCUAACGCUCUCCAUAUAUUAAAGCUCUAAUUAACAAGUGUAAAUGAAUAUUGAUCGAGGAGAAAACAAGGUAGUGCAAGAGCUUGAACACAUGACCUCUUUAAACUACCUACUCUUAUACUAUCUUAAAUCAUUGAUGGACUUAAAAGUCUGAGCUGAAUAAUGAAAGCAAAUUUAAUAUGAUAUGAUCAAAUAUUAAGCUUUACAUAAAACGUGUGUUGAUAUUGUACUAACAAACUAGUAAGUAGUUAAAGGUAGAAAUUAAACCUAUUAUUAUUGUAAAUGUAAAUUAAACCUAAGAUAGUUUGGACAGUUGUACUAUUAUUAUUUAUCAUAUAAAUAAUAAAUUUUAAUUUUUUUCUUUUUCUCGAUAUUUUAUACUCUCAUUUCUAAAAAGGAAUGUCUAAUAUAACAUUUUCAAAUAUAGGUAAGAGGCUUGUUCAAAAUUUGAAAAAUUGCGUGUUCACCUUGGUCUCUAGUCAUCUCACCUCCAUAAAACUCUUCAAACACUACUCUUUGUGCAUGUAUUUUUCAUUUGAUUAGUAAAUAAGACAGAGAUAUGACGAGAGUGUUAAGAAGGUGAUGUCAAUCAAGUUAGGAUAUCUCAAUAUAUCAACUCGUAUCUUUGUAUAAAAAAUAAUUAAUAAUUUUAUGAGUAAAAAUUGUAUUUCUUUUUUUUAUUUUGAAAUUUAAAAAAUAUAAAAGUUGUUUUUCUUUUUGAAUAAAUAUGAUGGGAAUCUGUUGCACAUGAUGUAUAGUUAUUCAAAGUUUGAAAGUACAUUAUUGAAAUUCAAACGUUGCCAUCAGUCUUGUUUUUUCUUUGAUUUAUUUAUUUUUAUUAAAAAAAAGUUUGAGCAUUUAUAUGGAACAAUCCAUGAUUGGUCUCACCAUAAUAAUUGAAAAAAUCCAAAAUUUCGAGUCAAAAAAAAUAUCCACUCAAAAGUAGAUACAAAAUUCAAUGACGAUGACCAUUACAAAAUAUAAUUUCGUUCAUGUUUAUUUAAAGAAUAUAACAGUAAAUUUAACACAUGCACUUACACACAUCAUCUUUGGAUUCUCUUCUCUCUUUGGUUUUUCUAUAUCACACAUUAUUAUUGUUUUCUUCAUACUAUUUUUUUCUUCUUCUUUUCGAUAAUAAAUCAAUUAUAUAUGCUUUGGAUAAUGUAUGAAAUUGGUUAAUAUGUUCAACAAAGGUUUAAUAUUUAAACACGCAAAGGCAACAUUUCAUCUUUUCAAAAGUUAGAAAUAGUAAGUAGAAUUAUUUAAUAAACUCUUUUAUGUGUGCAUGUGGCUUUUAAUCUAUUUAGUAAAAAGAAAUCAUCUCUGGGAUAUUUUUAUAAAACGAAAUGAUUUUGUAUUAUAUUAAUUUAUUAUUUGAAAUCAUACGCAUUAUGAAUUCAAAAUUAAAGAAUCAGAUAAAAACGAGACACACCCGGAAUACAAAAAUUAAAAGAAAAAUAUAAUGCAUACAUCACAUACUGUAAAUGUUCAUUUAAUUAUUUAAUCUAACAACAAAUGAAAUCCAAUCAUGAACUCCUUAAAACAAAAAUCAAUCAUGAACCUCUUUUUAAUUAAGUAUUUUAAAGAAAAUUGUAGCUUUUUCAAAAGCUAGUUUAUUAAUUUUAAAUAUAUAACUUUUGUUAUUAAAAAAUACAAAUUGCAACCAUGGCUAGUUAGUUGCAAUUAUACCCUCAAACUUUUAAUAAUGACAAUUGAAUUCCUAAACUUGUAAAUGUGUUAAAAUUGGACCAACAAACAAUAAAAUUAAAUUCUCAAACAUAAACAAUCAAUCCAAUUUAGAUAAUUAUAUAAAUUUAAGGGUCUAAUUUUAAAAUAUUGAAUAAAUUUGAAAGUUCAAUUUUUAAUUUUACAAGUAUAAUUGCAACUAUAGUGAUAGUUUUUCUUUUUUUAGUGUGUUCAAAGAAUUAUUACAUCAUUUCAUAUAUAAAUAAGUAUAAAUAUGUAUUGACAUGAUUGUUAGGGGAAAACGUGAUGAAUGGUUUAAAACUAAUACAUUUGUAUAAGUUAGGCAAUCUAAAAUGAAUGAAUAAUAGCUUGAGAAAUUAAUUAAUAAUUCAUUUAAUUAUAGAUUUAUUGAAUAUUUUUCCAAUAAUUAUUUUAAAUCGGAGGUUGGGAGAUUUGAACUAACAACUUUAAUUCGAACUGAUAAGUUUGUAGUCAAAACAGAUAGAUGUCAUAGAGUUUAUCUAAAUAUAAUCUCACUGUUGAAUAAGAAAUUUUGAGACCAAUCACAAGUUGCCACAUCAUUUAUUAAGUUAAUGAUGAAAAGUACAAAUAAUUAAAUUUGGGACUAAUUAAAAUUGACACAUGCCCCAAAUUAAAGAGUUAAAAUAAAUAAAUUGGUCAUUCUAAUAAUGCCACAUGUUUUCAUAUUAAUCGUUGGAUUAAGUUAAUCAUUUUAGUUCAAUUAAGCCAAAAAAAAAUAAGCUUAAUUGAGCCCAAAGACUAAAUAUAACCUAAGUCCAUAUGGUUGAGCCCAUGGGUCUGGUUUAUGGACCAACCAAGUUCAAACCCAUAAAGCCCACCAGUGAACUCUAUAAAUAGAGGAAUUCUCCUCAUUUGCAGGGGUUGGAAAAUUUUGACUCUAGAAGAUCUAGAGAGAAUUCUUCCAAGAGCUAGAAGACUCCCUAACUUCUGAAGUUGACCACCCUCGAAGAUUGAAGCUGCUUUGAAGAUACAAACUUUCUUCCAAGACUCCAACUUCAAGAACAUCACGUGCUCCGCUUCCUCAAAUCAAGCGUAAGCAUUCAACCAACUUGAAGAACAUCACGUGCUCCGCUUCUCCAAAUCAAGCGUAGACGUUCAACAAACUUCAAGAACAUCACGUGCUCCGCUUCUCCAAAUCAAGCGUAGACGUUCAACAAACUUCAAGAACAUCACGUGCUCCGCUUCUCCAAAUCAAGCGUAGACGUUCAACAAACUUCAAGAACAUCACGUGCUCCGCUUCUCCAAAUCAAGCGUAGACGUUCAACAAACUUCAAGAACAUCACGUGCUCCGCUUCCUCCAAAUCAAGCGUAGACAUACAGUUGAGAGAGAAUCAGAGGAUCAAAUUCUAGAGAUUGAACCGCAUCGCAUCAAAUCAACAAAAAUACAACAUCAACCCAAGUUCAAGUCCACGAAUUAAAUUUCUCCGGAAAUCUCGUGCGAACAAAUUGGCACGCCCAGUGGGACCAUCUCUACCUCUCAUCUCUCUCUCAUCAUCUAGAUCUACAAGCAAAUCAAUGGCAUCAAAGAAAGCUGCAUCCAAAUCUUCAGCUGCAAGCGACACCUACACGGGACCUAUCACCCGUAGUCGUUCCAAGGGGAUCAUCCAAGGGCAAGACCAAGGUUCCGCCAUCGCGCAGAGCAUCCUGAAGCAAUUGAUGGAAUCUCCUAAAGCUGGAAUUGUCAUCAAGGAAAAUCCUCUAUAUAAUGAUUAUGAUUCUGCCUCUAGCAGGUCACUGAAAGAAGCACACCCAGAUGUGAUGUCCGUCAUGAUGGCUGAUGUAGCAGUCGAGACUGCCAUGGCGGAGAUGGAGAGAAAAAUUAAUCUCCUGAUGAAGGUUGUUGAUGAACGAGACCACGAAAUUGCAGCUUUAAAGGAGCAGAUGCAGACUCGUGAAACUGCUGAAUCGAGUCAAACUCCUGUCGUUAAAGUUGAUGACAAAGGGAAGAACGUGGUACAAGAAAAUCAGCCACAACAACAAUCAACUUCUGUGGCUUCUCUCUCGGUUCAACAAUUACAAGAUAUGAUCACAAGCUCCAUCAGAGCACAAUAUGGAGGCCCAUCUCAGACUUCUUUCAUGUACUCUAAACCAUACACCAAAAGAAUCGACAACUUGAGAAUGCCGCUUGGAUAUCAGCCUCCAAAAUUCCAGCAGUUUGACGGAAAGGGCAAUCCAAAACAGCACGUUGCUCACUUCGUCGAAACAUGUGAGAAUGCAGGAUCAAGAGGAGAUCAACUAGUCAGACAAUUUGUUCGAAGCUUGAAAGGAAAUGCUUUUGAAUGGUAUACUGAUCUGGAGCCAGAAAGCAUUGAGAGUUGGGAACAACUAGAAAAGGAGUUUCUCAAUCGCUUCUACAGCACCAGGCGUACUGUAAGCAUGAUGGAGCUUACAAAUACGAAACAAAGAAAGGGAGAACCAGUCAUCGACUACAUCAAUAGAUGGAGAGCUCUAAGUCUUGACUGUAAAGAUCGGCUCACCGAACUGUCGGCUGUAGAAAUGUGCACCCAAGGCAUGCACUGGGGACUCCUCUACAUUUUGCAGGGAAUAAAGCCCCGCACAUUUGAAGAACUGGCAACUCGAGCUCAUGAUAUGGAGUUGAGCAUCGCCAGUAGAGGAACUAAAGAUUUUCUUGUUCCUGAAGUAAAGAAAGAUAAGAAAGAGAUGAAAGGUGCUGAAAAGAUAGUGAAAAGCACCUUGAAAGAAUCUAUGGUCGUAAACACAACCCCGCUGAAAUUCUCCAAAGGAAAGGAAGCGAGGGUUGAAAAGAAGGAUGAUGGAAGCGAAAGGCGACGUCUGACUUUAAAAGAAAGGCAGGAAAAAGUUUACCCAUUUCCUGAUUCAGAUAUCGCUGACAUGCUAGAGCAACUACUAGAGAAGCAGCUGAUCCAGCUGCCAGAAUGUAAACGACCUGAGCAAGCAGGAAAGGUAGAUGAUCCCAAUUACUGCAAGUAUCAUCGGGUCAUCAGUCAUCCAGUAGAGAAAUGCUUCGUGCUGAAGGAGCUAAUUCUAAGGUUGGCUCGUGAGAAAAGGAUUGAGCUAGAUUUGGAGGAAGUAGCUCAAACAAACCACGCUGAAGUGACGAUAAUGUCUGAGGCUUCUUCGUCGAGAUUGAUUUUUGAGCAAAGGAAAAGCUUGGUCCAGUUCGGGACCUUUGAGCCUAUAGUUGUCCAAUUCUUUCAGGAAAUCUCAUACGAGGAUCCUCAAGGAGAGAAAAGACCAAUUGAAGAAGACGAUGAAGGGUGGAUAGUGGUGACCCACCGAAAGAAAAGACAGUCGAUCCCGACCCAAAGAGAGUCUCGCUCUUACCAAAACUAUAGAAGAGGAAAUAAGACUCAAAAGAAUAAGAAAAAGAAGAAGACUCAUAAGCUUAAGCUCGUACAUAAUGAAGACAUGAAUUUCUCUCGACCUCAACGCUUAGUGACCUUGGCAGACUUCCUUCCAAAAAGCUUCCUUUGUGAUCAUCAGGAUGAAGACCCAGAAGUCGUUGCGUGUCAUGCUAUCAACACAACGGAGGAAGAAAUAAUCCCUCCAAGAUCACUAGAAGGAGAGGGAGUAUCAAAAGACCUUUCAAGGUUUAAUGUAGAGGAUCUAUUAUCACUUCCUCAAGAGACCAAAACCAUCCUUAUUGAUGCAUUGCUAAAUUCAAGAGCAUCAAGUUCGAGUACUCCGACUAUGACAUAUGAGAGUGGUUCUUAUUGUAUGUCUAUAGACUUCUCAGAUGAGGAUUUGUUGUUGGGAUCUAAACUUCAUAAUAGACCUUUGUAUGUUUCUGGAUACGUUCGAGAACAGAGAGUCGAUCGAAUCCUCAUUGAUAAUGGCUCAGCUGUCAACAUAAUGCCAAAGUCGACUAUGUGGCAAUUAGGCAUCUUGAUGGACGAGCUCUCAAAUAGCAAGCUAGUAAUUCAAGGUUUUAACCAAGGUAGCCAAAGAGCAAUAGGCAUGAUACGGUUAGAACUCAUAAUUGGCGACCUAAAGGCCAGUGCAUUGUUUCAUGUCAUAGACUCAAGGACUACUUACAAGUUGUUACUAGGGCGUCCUUGGAUUCAUGGAAACGGAGUAGUAACUUCAACACUGCAUCAGUGCUUCAAAUUUUAUCAGGACGGUGUAAAGAAGGUUGAAGCCGACUCUAAUCCAUUCUCAGAAGCUGAGUCUCACUUCGCAGAUGCAAAGUUUUAUUCAAAGAAUAAUAAUAUUUUAGAAGUUUUGCCUGCAGAAACCCCUCUUACAAAAGGAGAAGAUAAUUCACAAUUGAAAUCACUCGCAACCACAGAACCACAUGAAAGUGCGAGAACCUUUAACUCUGGAAAGGGUGAAGCAUACACUAGCAACACAAAGGGUAUGAUCUUGAAGGAUGAAAAUGCUGCAAACACACCAGUUUUGCGUUAUGUCCCUCUGUCAAGGCGCAAGAAAGGCGAAUCACCAUUCAUGGAGUCUCCAAAAGGUUUGAAAGUUGGUGACAUCGAAAUCAUAAAAGAAAGCUUCACUACACCACUAACUAAGAUAGCGAAGCAAGAGGUAAAGGUAGAUCUGGUGGAAGCAAACUUGCCCCAAAGGCGAACGAAAGACGGAUUCGACCCCAAGGCUUACAAAUUGAUGGCGAAAGCAGGUUAUGACUUCACAGCUCACACCGAGUUUAAAAGCUUGGAAAUUCAUGACCGACCUGAGCUCUCCUCAACUCAAAAGAAGCUUCUACGGGAAGGACAUUCUAUACCCGUGUCGAGAAAAGGACUCGGAUACAAGUCGCCAGAACCGAUCCGUAUAACUAAAAAGGGGAAGGAAAAAGUGGUUGACAUCAAUCAUAUAACUAUAGAGGAGGAUGACAAUACUGACGUAAAAGAAGGUGAUAAUCAGAGAAUCUCAGUAUUUGAUCGAAUUAGACCAUCUGUUGCACGUCCCGUAGUAUUUGAAAGGCUAAGCAUGACAGAGGCAGAAAGAGAAAGGCUCCAGUCAGUACCAAACCUUGAGAGACAUUCGGUCUUUCGAAGGCUAACUACGACUCCCAUAAAGGAAGAAAGCACAUGCCAUGCCUUGACAACUACAAGACCAUCAGCCUUUGAAAGGCUAGGUGUGUCUAAAAAGAAAAAUGUACAAGCACCCCGUGCUCCGAUUUUUAAUCAUCUCGGGGAUAAAGGAUCACACGACAACAUUGAUUCCAACAUAGAUACAAAGAAGAAGGAACCAAUGUCUCGUGUGAAAGUUUGGCGUCGAAUUAAGCAUACAGAUGUCGAUAAUUAUCGUAGUAAGAAGUUUCCUUGCGAGACAAAGGAAAAUGGAGAAAUUCAUAGCAACGUUCCUUCUCGCAUGAAAAGAAAAACUUUUGUUACUCUCAAUACAAGUCAAGGUUCGUUAAAGGUAAAAAGACAUGAUGUUAUACUAACGAAUCCUGAAAAAGAAGGGUCGGAACAAGGGGAAUGUGAAACUUCAUGUCAUCACAUCACCAUUAUUGAGGAAUCAGAGACUGGAACUCAUGAAGAAGACGCAGAAAAUGCCCCACAAAGUUUAGAGGAUGGUGGCCAAUCUACUGUAGACGAGCUAAAAGAGGUGAACCUUGGUACAAUAGAGGAACCACGUCCGACUUUCAUUAGUGCGUCCCUCUCUAAUGAAGAGGUGGAUAAAUAUAUGAGUUUGCUCACCGAAUACAGGGACAUCUUUGCGUGGUCGUACAAGGAGAUGCCAGGACUUGACCCAAAAGUAGCAGUCCAUCAUCUUGCAAUUAAACCUGGAUAUCGACCGAUUAAACAAGCACAACGACGUUUUCGACCGGAGCUUAUCCCUCAAAUCGAGGUGGAAGUCAACAAGUUGAUCGAAGCAGGAUUCAUUCGCGAGGUCAAAUAUCCAACGUGGAUAGCAAACAUUGUCCCUGUUAGAAAAAAAAAUGGACAACUUCGCGUUUGUGUAGACUUUCGCGAUCUGAAUAAUGCAUGCCCUAAAGAUGAUUUUCCCUUGCCCAUCACCGAAAUCAUGGUUGAUGCAACUACUGGACACGAGGCGUUGUCGUUUAUGGAUGGGUCGUCUGGAUAUAAUCAAAUACGGAUGGCCCUCUCAGAUGAAGAAAUGACAGCUUUCAGAACUCCAAAGGGAAUAUACUGUUACAAGGUGAUGCCCUUUGGAUUGAAAAAUGCCGGCGCUACUUAUCAACGUGCCAUGCAGAAAGUGUUUGAUGAUAUGUUGCACAGGUAUGUUGAAUGUUAUGUUGAUGAUCUUGUAGUCAAAACAAAGAGACGACAAGACCAUUUGAAGGAUCUAAAAGUCGUGUUUGAUCGCUUGCGAAAAUAUCAGCUAAGGAUGAACCCUCUCAAGUGUGCGUUUGGUGUAACUUCAGGAAAAUUUCUUGGCUUCAUUGUAAGGCAUCGAGGGAUCGAAAUAGACCAGUCCAAGAUUGAUGCCAUUCAGAAGAUGUCAAGACCUAAAAGUUUGCAUGACCUAAGAAGUCUCCAAGGACGACUGGCUUACAUCCGAAGGUUCAUCUCUAACUUGGCCGGUCGGUGUCAACCUUUUCAAAAGUUGAUGAGAAAAGGAGAAAAUUUUGUGUGGGAUGAAGCUUGUCAGAACGCUUUUGAUAGCAUAAAGAAAUACUUGCUUACUCCCCCAGUGCUGGGAGCUCCAGUACCUGACAAACCACUAAUAUUGUACAUUGCUGCACAAGAAAGGUCCUUAGGAGCAUUACUGGCACAAGAAGAGGUAAAGGGAAAGGAGCGUUCUCUCUACUAUCUAAGCAGAACAUUAAUUGGGGCUGAAGUUAACUAUUCUCCUAUCGAAAAGAUGUGUCUUGCACUUUUCUUUGCCAUUGAUAAGUUGAGGCAUUAUAUGCAGGCCUUCACGGUUCAUCUAGUGGCAAAAGCAGACCCUAUAAAGUAUGUUCUAUCCAGGCCAAUCAUCGCUGGACGCUUAGCCAAAUGGGCGGUUCUACUCCAACAAUAUGACAUUGUCUAUAUUCCCCAAAAGGCGAUAAAAGGACAAGCGCUAGCAGACUUUUUAGCAGACCACCCAAUUCCUUCGGAUUGGAAGUUAUGUGAUGACCUACCAGACGAUGAGGUUUUCUUCACAGAAGUUAUGGAACCUUGGACUAUGUACUUCGAUGGUGCAGCUCGAAGAAGUGGUGCGGGGGCAGGCAUUGUCCUCAUUUCUCCUGAGAAGCAUAUGUUGCCUUAUAGCUUUGCACUUUCCGAAUUGUGUUCAAACAAUGUGGCUGAAUAUCAGGCUUUGAUAAUUGGCCUUCAAAUAGCAUUAGAAAUCGGAGUGUCAUUCAUAGAGGUCUAUGGUGAUUCAAAAUUGAUAAUCAAUCAACUCUCGCUUCAAUAUGACGUGAAACAUGAAGACUUGAAGCCAUAUUUUGCUUAUGCUCGACAAUUGAUGGAAAAGUUUGAUAAUGUGAUGUUAGAACAUGUCCCUAGAGUAGAAAAUAAGAGAGCGGAUGCAUUGGCAAAUUUAGCCACGGCCUUGACCAUGCCAGAUGAUGUAACUCUGAACAUACCACUUUGUCAACGAUGGAUUAUACCCCCAGUUAGGCCUGAAUGUCAGGAAGUGAACAUGGCAACAUCCUAUUUGAUUGAUGAAGAAGAUUGGCGUCAACCCAUCAUAGAGUAUCUUGAACAUGGAAAGCUUCCAAAGGAUUCUCGUCAUAAAAUUGAGAUACGAAGAAGGGCAGCACACUUCAUUUAUUACAAGGGAACUUUAUAUCGCCGUUCUCUUGAAGGGCUCUUCCUUCGAUGUCUCGGAAAGGAAGAUUCGGUAAAAGCUCUAAAGGAAGUACAUGCAGGUGUUUGUGGAGCACAUCAAUCGGGACCAAAGCUUCAAUUCCAGCUAAGAAGAAUGGGCUACUACUGGCCUAAGAUGAUCCAAGAUUCAAUAGACUAUGUGAAGAAGUGUGAGCCUUGUCAAUACCAUGCAAACUUCAUACACCAACCUCCAGAACCUCUUCAUCCAACUGUGGCUUCUUGGCCUUUUGAGGCUUGGGGACUCGAUCUGGUUGGCCCCAUUACACCAAAAUCAUCAGCAGGACAUUCUUAUAUCCUAGCAGCAACAGACUAUUUUUCAAGGUGGGCUGAGGCCAUUUCCUUGAGAGAAGCCAAGAAGGAGAACGUGGCAGACUUUAUUCGAACACACAUCAUCUAUCGAUACGGUAUUCCACAUCGAAUCGUGACGGAUAAUGGAAAGCAAUUCUCCAAUAGUAUGAUGGACAAGUUAUGUGAAAAAUUCAAAUUCAAGCAAUAUAAGUCAUCCAUGUACAACGCAGCUGCGAAUGGACUAGCAGAAGCAUUCAACAAAACAUUGUGUAAUCUUUUAAAGAAAAUUGUCUCCAAGUCAAAGAGGGAUUGGCAAGAAAAGAUCGGCGAGGCAUUAUGGGCUUAUCGAACGACUCAUCGCACCCCUACAGGGGUUACACCAUAUUCGCUUGUUUACGGUGUGGAGGCUGUCCUUCCUCUCGAAAGGGAAAUUCCGUCACUAAGAAUGGCAGUACAAGAGGGAUUGACUACCGAAGAUAAUGUGAAGUUACGUCUUCAAGAAUUAGAAGCACUUGACGAAAAGCGAUUAGAGGCUCAGCAAGCAUUGGAAUGUUAUCAAGCGAGAAUGUCCAAAGCUUUUGAUAAACACGUUAAACCUCGCUCCUUUCAAGUCGGUGAUCUAGUACUUGCCGUAAGGAGACCGAUCAUCACAACAAGGCAUACAGGAAAUAAGUUCACACCUAAAUGGGAUGGACCUUACAUUGUUAAAGAAGUUUAUACAAAUGGCGCAUACAAGAUCGUUGAUCAAGACGGACUACGAAUUGGCCCAAUCAAUGGUAAAUUUCUUAAAAAAUUUUAUGCUUAAUUUUGUUAGGUAAAAAAAAAAAAAUUGAACUACGUUAUGACUUGAUCCCUAUGUUAUAAAGGGUACGUAGGCAGCUUAAGGAAAACCUUAAGCCCAGUCCAGCAAAAAAAAAGUUGAACUACGUUAUGACUUGAUCCCUAUAUUAUAAAGGGUACGUAGGCAGCUUAAGGAAAACCUUAAGCCCAGUCCAGCAAAAAAAAAAUUGAACUACGUUAUGACGUGAUCCCUAUAUUAUAAAGGGUACGUAGGCAGCUUAAGGAAAACCUUAAGCCCAGUCCAGCAAAAAAAGUUGAACUACGUUAUGACUUGAUCCCUACAUUAUAAAGGGUACGUAGGCAACUUAAAGAAAACUUUAAGUUCAGUCCACCAUUAUAAAAAAAAAAAAAAAAACCUUGAACUACGUCGUGAGUUAAUUCUUUUCUUCAAAGGGUGUUCAUCUCCACUAAGAAAUCAUAACAAAUUGGGGGCAAAUCCCUAAAUUCAAGAUGUUCAUCUUUAGUAACAAUGAGAUGAAAUAAAUUGAAGAUGUACAAACUCCGUGCAAAGACUAUGUACAAGUUGAGUGCAUGUAAAAAGAAAAAAAAAAGAGAAUCUCAAAAUCAAGCUCAAAGGCAUCAUUAAUGAUCCCUCAAAUUCAAGCAUAAAAGUUUCAUUGAUGAUUCCUUAUAUUCAAGUUUGAAGGCUUCAUCGAUGCUGCAGCUCCAGCUCUUUGAGAGGAUAACGAUGGUACAACUUUGAUAGGACGACGAUCGGGCAGCUCUGCCUUCGCCUCUCCAAGAUGAAAACGACAGUGUAACAUCGUUUCUGCCUCUUGAAGAAGAUGCAUGCAAUGCUAAAGCUUUAACCUCUGCUUCAUCUUCAGCUUAUUGCAACCGAAGAGGAUUCAUCUUCAUCUUCUUCUAAGUUUUGCAAUCGAAGAUUAUUCAUCUUCAUCUGCUCUAAGGUGUCGCAAGUGAGAGGAUUCAUCUUUGUCUUCCUCCAUGUGUUACAACCGAGAUGAUUCAUCUUCAUCUUCACCUAGGAGUCGCAAUCAAGAAGAUUCAUUUUCAUCUUCUCUCAGGUGUAACAACCGAAGAUGAUUCAUCUUCAUCUGCUCUAAGGUGUCGCAAGUGAGAGGAUUCAUCUUUGUCUUCUCCUAUGUGUUGCAACCGAGAGGAUUCAUCUUCAUCUUCUCCUAAGAAUUGCAACUGAGAAGAUUCACCUUCAUCUUCUUUCAGGUGUCGCAACCAAAGAAGAUUCAUCUUUAUCUUCUUCUAGGUGCUGCAACCAAAGAGGAUUCAUCUUCAUCUUCUUUCAUAUGACGUAGCCGGAAGGAUUCACCUUCAUCUUCUUCUAGGUGCUACAACCGAGAGGAUUCAUCUUCAUCUUCUCAUUGGAAUUGCAACUGAGAAGAUUCAUCUUCAUCUUCUCCUAAGAGUCGCAACCGAGAAGAUUCACCUUCAUCUUCUUUCAGGUGUCGCAACCAAAGAAGAUUCAUCUUCAUCUUCUUUUAGGAGUUGCAACCAAAGAGAAUUCAUCUUCAUCUUCUUUCAUAUGUCGUAGCCGGAAGGAUUCACCUUCAUCUUCUUCUAGGUGCUACAAUCAAAGAUGAUUCAUCUUCAUCUUCUCUUAUAUGUCAUAGCUGAGAAGAUUCAUCUUCAUCUUCUCCCAGGUGCUGCAAUCGAAAAUGAUUCAUCUUCUCUCAUAUGUCAUAGCCGAGAGGAUUCAUCUUCAUCUUCUCCCAUAUGUCAUAGCCGAGAGGAUUUAUCUUCAUCUUCUCCCAGGUGCUGCAAUUGAAUAGGAUUCAUCUUCAUCUCCUCCCAUAUGUCAUAGUCGAGAGGAUUCAUCUCCUUUCAUAUGUCAUAGCCGAGAGGAUUCAUCUUCAUCUUCUCUCAUAUGUCAUAGCUGAGAGGAUUCAUCUUCAUCUUCUUCCAAGUGCUGCAACUGAAGAGAAUUCAUCUUCAUCUCCUCCCAUAUGUCAUAGCCGAGAGGAUUCAUCUUCAUCUUCUCCUAUAUGUCGUAGCUGAGAGUAUUCAUCUUUAUCAUCUAACAGGUGUCGCAACCCGGCCGAUGGAAUUCAUUUUCAUCAGCUCUAAGGUGUCGCAAGCUAGAUGAUUCAUCUUCAUCUUCUCCCUAGUACCACAACCAAGAAAGAAAGAAAAAAAAAAGGAGAAGCAAGAAGAAGAAAGAAGAAAAUGAUGAAGAAGAAAGAAGGAAGAAGAAAGAAAAAAAAAAACAAAAAGAAAGAAGAAAAGAAAAAAAAAAAACAAAAACAAAAAGAAAGAAAAACAAAAAAAAAAAAAAGAAAGAAGAAGAAGAAGAAAACAAAAAAGAAAGAAGCAAAAGAAGAAAAAACAAAAAGAAAGAAGAAUAAGAAGAAGAAGAAAAAAAAACGAAGAAGCUCAAUUGGUGAUAACGAAGAUCGAAGCCCGACGAUGACAGAGUCGAUCUCUCCUACUAGGGCGAUAGAUCUGACGGCAAAAGCCCGAUCGUCCCUAGAAGAAGCUCAACAAAGUCAUUUCUGCAAACGAAGAUCGAAGCCCGACGAUGACAGAGUCAAUCUCUCCUACUAGGGCGAUAGAUCUGACGGCAAAAGCCCGAUCGUCCCUAGAAGAAGCUCAACAAAGUCAUUUAUGCAAACGAAGAUUGAAGCCCGACGAUGACAGAGUCGAUCUCUCCUACUAGGGCGAUAGAUCUGACGGCAAAAGCCCGAUCGUCCCUAGAAGAAGCUCAACAAAGUCAUUUCUGCAAACGAAGAUUGAAGCCCGACGAUGACAGAGUCGAUCUCUCCUACUAGGGCGAUAGAUCUGACGGCAAAAGCCCGAUCGUCCCUAGAAGAAGCUCAACAAAGUCAUUUCUGCAAACGAAGAUCGAAGCCCGACGAUGACAGAGUCGAUCUCUCCUACUAGGGCGAUAGAUCUGACGGCAAAAGCCCGAUCGUCCCUAGAAGAAGCUCAACAAAGUCAUUUCUGCAAACGAAGAUUGAAGCCCGACGAUGACAGAGUCGAUCUCUCCAACUAGGGCGAUAGAUCUGACGGCAAAAGCCCGAUCGUCCCUAGAAGAAGCUCAACAAAGUCAUUUCUGCAAACGAAGAUCGAAGCCCGACGAUGACAGAGUCGAUCUCUCCUACUAGGGCGAUAGAUCUGACGGCAGAAGCCCGAUCGUCCCUAGAAGAAGCUCGACAAAGUCAUUCCUGCAAAAAAAAAAAAAAAAACAAAAACAAAAACAAAAACACAAAAAAAAAAAAAAACAAACAAAAAACAAAACAAAACAGAAAAAAAAAAAAAACACACACACACACACAAAAAAAAAAAAGAAGAGAAAAAAAAAGAGAAAGGGAGAAGAAAAGUUUUCUAUACCUUUCUGCCGAUUUGAUGAGGAAUAAGCGUUGGAUGAGGUAUAAGUGAGUAGGGUAUGAGUCUAUUUAUAA
rnacentral:lncRNA from 1 species